rnacentral:lncRNA from 1 species
AGGGAGGUGAUAUCAGCGGAGGUUUUGGUGGUGGCUGGGAAGGCGGAGGUGGACUUGAGGCCGGUGAAUGGUGCCACCAUGCUGGCUUGAGCAGGGCUAGCUCUGUUAAUGCUAGCCACAGUUGCAGUUGAAAGCAUAGAGGUAGCCAUUUCAAAUUCCCCUUUCUUGCUUACAAGUAGACUUUUGUUGUUCAACCUCUUGCUUGAGUGGUCGAGCAACUCUUCACCUUCUUCCUUUUAUAACGCCUUUUGGCUUCUCUUUGCCUUGUCGUUUUGAGAGUGCCAUUUCUGAUCCAACGGUUCAGGCUUCAUUUUCAGGAGUUUAGCUGUUGGAUCUUAUGAUGGCCACAUACAGGAGACGUUAGCCUUAUCGUUAGGCACUACUCACGGUGUGCCACGUGUACUUAUGUCCAUAAUCUUAUCUCAUCUCAUUUGAGUCCGCAACGCGUUUUAUGGCCCUUCAUUUUUUUGGGGAUAGGACUCUCCUUCCUUUAACUUUGCAGUUAUUUAUCCUUUUUUCCCUUUAUUUAUUUUGCAAAAUUUUGGAACUUUUUGAGGAAUGGAGAUUUUGUUAAGAUUUCAUUACAUGAUUUUUUUUUAAAAAAAAUCUUUAAAUUUAUAAAAUUAUAACAAUUAAAUAAAUUAAUAGUAUUUUUUUUUUUAUUUUAGGGGCAAGGGUAUUGGAGAUUAUAUAUAUAUAUAUAUAUGAAGAUUGACAAUGAACUUUCCAGGCCUUUCCCUUUUUUUUUUUUCAAAUAAAUAUAAAAUAAAAACAGUUAAAGAAGAAUAUUGGGUUUUAUAUAUAAAUUUCAAAUUUUCAAAUUUUCUGUUAUUUUCCUGCUUAUUACAUUUUUGGAUUCCUCUCACUGAUAUGUCAAGAAUAGCAUGAUAAGGAAGUAAAGGCUUAUAUCACAUUUAACUCUGAGUUCCAAAAUGCUCUGCAUGUCAAUUAUCUGGUGGACCAUCAUAUCCUCAUUUAAUUGUUAUGUCACACACUAAACCUAACUUAUUUUGUGGCCACUAUCAAUUUUAUGCUACAAAAGGCUCUUAAUAUAUCAAUAUUUUGCCUAUUUUUCAAAAUGGGAAAAAAAAUAAUAAUGCGUUAAAAGUCUAAGAGAUUUGUUCCCUUGCAAAAUGGGAAUAAUCAUAGUUGUUCGAUACACAGCAAGCUGCAAGUCUUUCCGAAAUGAUGGAACUGAAUCAUCAGUGGAAACAUGUAGGGUUUAUCUGCAAAAAUCACCAUAUCUGAAUAGAACUCAAUUUUUAUACCAUAACUAGAUGCAAACUCAAAAAUAUCCGACCUGUGAUGCCACAUGUAGGGUUUAUCUGCAAAAAUCAUCAUAUGUUGAAUCCAACCUCAAUUUUUCAUACGAUAACUCUGAUGCAAACUUGAAAAUAUCCGAUCUAUUACCAUUCUUGAAUGUGAUGCACUAGCAAAGAGUCUCUUCUCUUCAUGGCUCUUAUUCCAAAUGCAGUUUAUUCUUGUUCUUGUUGACUUACAUAUCAAAAUUUAUCAAGCUUGUCCAAAUGAUAAGUCUGCUUACAGGUCUAGAAUACUUGCCCAUGAUUCUGUUAAUCAUAUGAUAGAUUUUCUCUAAGAUUAAGCAGCAAAUUCUCUAACUUGGAGGAGGAGGAAAGAAAAGCAGACUUGAAAUAUUUGGAGCUUGAAGUUUCAUUAAAAGAGAUUUGUGCAUAAAGGAUCUGAAACAAAAUUCUUAAACCAGAUUAUCUCCCAACUCAUUAGAGAUCCAAGAAACCUGAAAAUUGGAUUUAUACUUCACUUUUGAAGACUUCUCCAUCCCCCUCUUAUAAUUUGCUCUCAUCUAUCAGUAGACAAAGCACAAAUCUAGUAGAGCAUUAGCCUUUAGUUUUUCUCCCUCUAAAUACAAUAUGCAAACAAAUAGGACAGAUAUGCAAGCCUGUGACACCUGAAAUGCAAUUCAAUCAUUUCAAUUACUGGUAAGAUUUAAUACAUGCACUUUGAUUUGGCUUGAAAUUAAACCCACCUUUCAAGAAUCAAUGGAGGCAAUGGGCAAAUGUAUCCCAACUCUUAAAUAAUCAGCACAUUACAAUUAGUUUAAUCUCCACCAAGAAUCACUUAAAGAAUAAAGUAAAACCUACACUUAGCAAACAAUAUGCCCAAAUUGAAAAAUUCAAGGCUUAUGAUUUUGGGAUUGAUGCAAAUUGAUAUAUAGAGAAGACAAUCCAACAGUAUCAGGACUCUUGAGCUGAUCAAGCUGUUUCUUACCCCGACGAAGCAAAUACUCGAUGUAGAGGAAAUUCUUGCGAUCUACAUGCUGGGAGUUGUGGCGAAACUCUGCCGAUACCAUGGAUUCAAUCUGUCGGCGAUCUUCAGGGGAUUUCAAACGAGCAGCUCGCAGAAAUGCUCGGUAGAGACUAAGCACUUGCUUCUGCAUUCCUGAGAGUCUUGGGCCAUUCGAGGCUCCCAUGGCAUCUUCGCAAAUCGAUACAUAUCAGGAAACUUCUCCUCCAUAAACAAGUCAGAGAAGAGAAGAUUGAAGAGAAUAAAUCUUACCUCGAUUGAUAGAUCAAUCGCGAAGGAGUAUACGCCGGCGAAACUGAUUUCUUUUAUAUAUUCUUCUAUAACGUUGAAAAUCUCUUUUUCUUUUGGAAUGAUUGAACAGAAAAUCCAAGUUCUGUUGCAGAAACUGGAGGUGGAAGACGAAGAAAUGGGCUUGAUCUUUUGAAAGUGGAGCUUGAAUAUUACAAACCCUAAUUGGACCUAAAUGUUGUGAUCCAUAAUAAAUAAAUAAUUUUAAUUUAUAUAUUUAAAACAUACAAAAAUAAAUUAGUAUAUCAAUUUAUUGUUAAUUUAUAUAUAAAUUUUAUUUUAAUUUAAAAUUAAAAUUAAAGAAGUGUAUAUAAAUUAUAAGACUAAUUUAUAUAGUAUAAUGUAGUCUUAUAAACAUUUUAAUUUUAAUAAUUUCAUUUAAAAUUAAAAAGUUUAUAUAAAUUUUAUUUAAUUUUAAAAGGAAAAAAUGUAAUUUUAUAUGCGCAAAAAGAGAUAUGACUUUUUAUUAUUAAUUGUGGAAUUUAUUUUACAUAUAAAUAAAUCCUACUAAUAUAAAAAUAUUAACUAAAAUUAUUUUAAUUAAUUAAAAAAUAUUUUAAAUUUAUUUCUUCAUUUUUCAUUUUUUUACAUUUUUUUACUUCCACUUAUAAAUUUUUAAAUAUAAAAAUUAUCAUUGCAGUGUAAAGAUUUUCAGUUACUUUUUUUUUAUUAAUUAUAUCAUUAGUCAUGAUGAUAACAAGGAAAAUAUGAAUUAUAUAUUAGAUUAAAUAAUAAGCUUAGAUUUGGAGAUUCAUGAAUAGAUCAAUCUUUCAAACUGCUACUGAAUUUAUGGACAAACAAGAGACAAUCCGACGAAUUGAAAUAUUUUAAUAAUUAGAGUUAAAGAAAGUAAAAGCGAUCCCUAUAAUAGCGGCAAACAAAAUGAAAGCAGAAGCAAUACAGGCAUCGUGCUGCUAAGCGGUGGAGUGUUGCACUUUAAAUUGCGAAAGUCCAUUGGCUGAAAGUAUUACUAGCUUACACUCUGAUUCAAAUAGAAUGGAUAUAUGGAAUCCCGUAUGAACAGUAAGGAUCAUCUUGCAAAGUUAAAUACUCUUGGUAAUUGAUAGCGAAGUAAUACUGUGAGAAAAGGGUGAAAAGAAUUUAUUCAGGAGUGAAAUAGAAUAUGAAAUUGACUUAAAUUUGGUUGAUACAGUUUUUGUAUAUAAAUUUUAUAUUUCAAAAAGAAAAAAGCCAUAUUAUUGUUUCCAUAGAUAAAGUGCUAUUGGUGAAAAUUAAGGAAUUAUAUAUAUGUAUAUAGUUAAUUUACAACCUGAAUUUGAGAUGAAAUAUACAAGCCCUAAUUGUUGCUUAAUACAAAUCUGCCCACCACAUUGAGGAAUGGAAAUGGGGAGAAAAUAGACCUAAUUAAAUGCAAAUCUAUGAUUAUAAAACUACAUUAUACUAUAAAAAUACAUAACAAAUUCAUAACCCUGAAAAUAUUAUUAAGAAAAAAAUUAUGAAAUAAAAAUUUCAAUAUGUGUUUUCUCUAUAUUUUACGUCCAUCGUCUCGGAGGCUUGAUUGAGGAGCUGGUAGUGGUAGUUUUCCUCACAUCUGAAAAGAAUAGUAAUGGAAUUGUUAAGUCCGAUAGUAAAUUUUUCAUAAUUUUUAUUAUUUUUUUAGUUAUUCUAAAAUUAUUAUUUAUUUUUUUAAAUUAUAAUAAUAUAUAAAUCGACUAUUAUAAUUUCAUUUAAUUUUAUUUUACUUAUAAGAAAUUUUCCAAAAAUAUAUUUUAAUAUUUAAUAAAAUUUAAUAUAUUUAAAAUAAUAUAAUUAAAAAAUUAAUAAAAAAAUUAUAUUUCUUAAUAUAUGUAAAAAUAUAAAGUGAAUAAAAAUUAUAAAAAGUUUUUUUUAUUAAUUAUUUAAUAAAUAAAUAAAAAUAACAUUUUAUUAUCGAAAUAAACACCUUAAAGUUAUACUACUUUUUUAUUAUUCGUCGUAGCAAAAUUAUUAAAUAUAUCUUUUAUCAAAUUGAAAAAGUAUUCGAUUUUUAAAUACAAAUGAAUAGAUCUUCAAUAUUAUGACGGAAUGAAAAUAUAAGAAUUAAAUGGUUGAGUUUUAAAAAUAAAAGAAAUGGGUUAAUAUUAACAUAAUUUAAUGAUGAAAAAAUAAUUUAUCCUUGAUUUUACUUACUUGUUGGUGCUUUUGAUGUGUCUCUUCCCAUUGAUACUGUAAGUUGCCCUAACUUUUGUAGGCUCCGAGGCCUAGGUAGCAUUCUCUUCCUGCAACAAAAUAGAUUUGGAUGGAUGAGUAUAUUGAAUCCUUCAUUCUCUUGCUACAUACUCUCUCUCUCAGGUUUUGUCCGUACCAUUCGUUAAAUUUCAAAGAGAGUGAGGGAUAAUUUUUUGUAUAUAUGAACAUAGGAUAACUUGCCUGUCCACUGUUUUUGUGGCUUUUUCUACUGGGAUUUCAGGUUCUGCUCCGACAGAAUGAUAACUCUCAGAACAAUCACUUAGUCUAUCAUCAUGGUCCCCUUCUGCAGAUCUUAAAGAUUCAGCAUCCUGGCUCACGUCUCCAGCAAAAUAUCUUGAAUGCUUGAGAAAUUUUCUUUGUUGUUUAAAAUCGUCUAGUGACUGCUGAGAAUCAACUUCAGAAUGAUAAUCACUGUUUUCUAAAUAAUCAUAGAUCGCCUUUGAGGAUUGCUUUUGGAGUGCAUCAUGUGAGGAAUAUCCGUGCUUCAGUGGACCUGUUCCUUGCUUUUCGCCAUGGGCACUAGGAUAAGAGCUUUUUAGAUCUUUAAGCAAUUGUAAUUGCUCAAUCUCCCCAUCUUUUUUUGAUAUUGUGUCUUUAAGAGAUGCCACCUGCAGAUGAAAGUUCAUAAGCAAUGUUGCAUAUAUACAAAAACAACCAAGUUUUAGUCGAAAACUAAAUGAGGUCAGCUAUACAGAUCUUUUUUCAACAUUAGCUCUGGUAGAUACUGAGUUCGCACUGUGCUCUGAAGGUAAAAUUCAUUUCUAAGGUUGAAUCAUAUAUAAAAAAAAAUGUUAAAAUGAGAUUAAUGGAAAAAUAUAAUGAAGAAAAAGAAACCUGAUCCAUUAAUUCUCUAACGUUGCCGUCUUUACUGCUUCGUGCUGCUCCUAGCUCAACUCCUGAGACUCUUUCUGCGAACUUUAAGGUACUCAUAGUUUCAGCAUAUGAACUUACAUCGGGGUUGAGCUGCACAAACAUAAGUGUCUUUGCUUGACCUCCUGCAACAAGAAGAAACCCGGAAAAAAAAAAUCCAUCAAGUCUAGUCGAAGUAUGCUGCUGCAUGCGCUGCUGUGUCAUAUAGAAUUAGAACUUCAAAGAUAGUUUUUGACAGAUUGAAGAUAUUGAAAACAAUACCUAAAGAGGUUUGAAGGAGCUGAGUUAGCUUGCUAUUCCUAUAGGGUACAUGAGAACUCUUUUGUGCUAGAGCGAAAAUGACAUCUCCAAGGGCAGAUAGAGAUUUGUUUAUGUGUUGUGCUUCUCUAAGCCUAUCUCCUGUUACUUCCGAGCGAUCUACCCUUUCACUUCCAGCUAAAUCCACCAAAUGAAGAUUACCCUGUGAAGUAUCGCCAGUAUGCAAGUCCUUCCCACGAACAUUAAUACUGACAACGCUGUAUGCAUAGAUCUAAAUGAUCUUCUCAACAUGUUUUAAAGAAUUUCAUAAUACGAAAGAAUAGAUAUGGUACUAGGAUGUGUAAGAACCUGUGUGAGCGGCUGCUUCUUUCGUUCAAGGCAGUGGCACUAACAGCUCUGUUGUUGAAUCCAAUUUGCAUUAGUUCUAUAACAUCUGAAGGUGAUCUUACAGGGUGCAAGCUAGCAUCAGGAACAGCUAACCCAUGUUGUUGGGUACUAGACUUGAUCCCAAGUGUGUGCAAAUCAAGGGAAACAAAAACUUCAAGAAUAUUGCACUCUUCAUUAAAAUAGAACAAUUAUUUGAUUGCAUAGAUACAUCAAUCAUCAAUCAAUUUAGUGAAAAAGGUGGCUUGUGGGUAAGAUGUGAAAGUAAAAAAACUAAAGGCUGCAUAAUUUAGAGUUAAACGAAUCUGAAUCUGAUUAAAAAGGAUAUUUUUUCUGAGAACCAUCAGUUACUAGCAGAUCACGUAAUUGUUCGUUAUAUAUUUCAAACAUUUGUACUCCAACUUCAUACAUAAAAGAAGUGCUUCUGUUUUGAGAGAUAUUGAAAAGAUCGUUGAGUGCUCGAUAAUUAACCCCCCAUUCUUCUUUUGUUGCUCCAUUAGGACCAGUCUGGAGCAAACAGUCAAGUUGAAUUAGCAUCAAUUAAUAUAUUGUAGCAUUUUUCAUGAAACUUAAAAAGAUUUUAUCAAAUUCAUACCAUUGUGUAAGUUUUCCCUGAACCAGUCUGUCCAUAAGCAAAUAUGCACACAUUAUAUCCAUCAAGAACACAGCGAAUCAACGGUUGUGUAUCCGAAAAUACAUCCGCUGACAACAUUCAGAAUGAUUGGCACGUCAGAUAUUGCAAUAUUGCAAUUGUUGCUCACACAAACAGAUUCAAGUAAAUUUUCAUUUCUGAGAAUUAUAUUUACCAGUAAUUUAAAAAAUAUACCUUGAGUGGAAUUUGGACCAUAGACCUUAUUGAACCGAAACAAUCGGUUGCCAUCCUUCCCUGGUUUGGAAGGAUUUGCAACAACCAACUCUCCAUUUUGACCAACAUACUCUAUCGUUGUCUGUUUUUCAGCCUGACCAGGAUUCAAUGGCCUUAUCCGACAAUAAACUCUAAUAUUUCCUGUAUCAAAGAACUAAAAUUGAAAAAUUAUCUUGAAAUAUGCACCAAUUACAAUCCUGUUCAGAAAAGACCAAAGGGUGGCACCUUUUAAAUCUUGCAGCUCAUUGAACAGCUUCCGAUUUUCAGCAAGAACUAAAUGGUAGUUCUCACUUUCAACUGCUAAACUUUUAAACUUUAAUUCUGAAAUAAAUUAUAAAUUAAAUCUUUAAGGGAUGGCCAUCACUACUUGCAUAUAAGGAAAAAAAAGUGAUUAACCAACCAACCUAGGCAAUUAAAAUCCUCUGAAUGUCUCUUUUGCGCUUUCGAAAUUUCGCGCUUGAUGCACUGUGACGACGACCUUAAUUCCUAGAGGUUUUCAUGUGUUUAGUAAUAUGAAUACUCUGAAAUAUAAAUGUAGAAGAAAGCAGGCACGAGAGGAGAAUACCUGCAGUGCACCAAACUGAAACUCUGCCAAACUCUGGAAAAUCAGGUCUUUCUUAUUCCAGCUUUGUUUUUGCGACUUAGAAUAUGACUCAAGCACUUUCACCUUGUUCCUUGAUUCUUCCAAAAGUUGCACAAGCUCUUGUAACCUCUUCUCAAGAUCUGCUUUAGCGUCGUUAGCUUCUGUUUCCAUUUGCAAACAACGAAGUUCGCAAGUCUUUUUAGUUAUUUCCAGUUCUUGUUUCAAUGCUGAAAGUUCAUUAUUUAUUUGCUCCUUCUCUUUAGCCAAUUUAACCAUAUUUUCCUCCUCAACUUUUCUCUUUUCAUCCAUUUUAGACUUCUCCAGUUCAAGUGUCCUUUUCGCUAUUUCCAACUCAUUCUUCAACGUCGAAAGUUCAAUGUUUGUUUGCUCCUUCUCUUUCAUUAAUCUAACCACAUAUUCCCCUUGUGUACCUUUUUCAUCCAUUUUUGACUUCCUGGGUUCAGGUGUCGUUUUGGCCAUUUCCAGUUCUUGCUUUAGUUUUGAAAGUUCAUUAUCUGUUCGCUCCUUCUCUUUCAUCAAUUUCAUCACAUCUUUCCCCAUGUGUUUUCUUUUUUCAUCCAUUGUGGGCUUCUCAUGUCCCAGUGUCUUUUUGACCAUUUCUAAUUCCUGCUUCAAUGUAGAAAGUUCAAGAUUUGUCUGCUCCUUCUCUUGCCUCAAUUUUGCUACAUCUUCCUCCUCAGUUUUCCUUCUUUCAUCCAUUUCAGACAUCUCAAGGUCAAGCAUCCUCCUGGCUCUUUCCAAUGCUUGCUUCAAUGUGGAAAGUUCAAGAUUUGUUUCCUCCUUCUCUCUGAUCAAUUUUAUUAUAUCUUCCUCCUCACCUUUCUUCUUCUCGUCCAUUCUGGACUUCUCAAGCUAUAAAGACAAAAGAAGAUCACAAUUAUAAUGAUAAACCAUACCUAAAAAAGAGAGAGAGAAGAGAAGAGAAAAAAAAAACUUUUCAAGUAAAAUGUAUGCAUCUGAUCCACAAUAAAAUGAGGAAAGUGGAGACUAAGAUGUGUUAAGUGACAAUAUAAAAUUUAGUAUUAUAGUGACACAACUUUUAGAAGCAGCAUGUAAGAAAUAAAAAACCCCAUGCUGCAAAAAAAAUCAGAUACAAGCAAUUCAUCCUUUGACGUUGUAUGAACUAACUGAAUUUUCUCCGAGUCAUACCUUUAUUUGUUGAAGCUGGCCCUUGACAAUCUGUGACAAAUUGAAUUAUUUUACUAAUUAGAUAAAUAGAUGUAUCCAUAUAUAGUGGACAUGCAUCCAUUUCUUCUACCAACAAGGAAAAAAGAAAAUUGGCAUACCAAAGUCUCUUCACCAGUUCCAGAAGCAAGGGUUUCAAGAACUCUGAUUCGUGAUUGGUACUUUUCUUCACGAGCCUUGAACAAGUUGUUUUGCUGAAAGUGGAGUGAUAAAGAAAUCAUCAUAGAAAAACAAAAGUAAAAACCAUUAUAUGUGAAAUGAGAAAACGUUCAUUACAGUUCUUAAGUGUUCUGCUUGAGUUGAAAUACGCCGUUCAAUCUCCUGCACGACUUUUCUCAAAAGGCAUGCCACACGCUGCACCAAAAAGUAACAUUAGAACCUGCUCCUAAAAUUAUUCUUAUAGAGAACUAUAUAUGUGCAUGCAUACAUGCAUAAGACAGGUUGCACACAUAUGUAGAUACACAUAUAUUAUUAGUAUAGAUUGAAAUGUGUGUUUGCGUUACACCAAUGUGCCUUCACAUUGCAUACAUGAGGUAUUUCGCCAUUCUUUCUUUCAAUGCUUUCAUCCAGAAUUCCAUUCACAACGCUCAAAAGUGACUGAGUUGGUGCAUUCUGCACAGAGGUUUUUAAACAGAAUUAAAACAGGAUAUAGAAUUCUGAAUAGAAUGACAAUUACAUAAACAAAAAGUGGAAAAUAAUGAAUGUCCAUAUACAAAGACUGAGGUCAUACAUCCAAACUAUUUGAUCUCAUCAUCUCCGAAAUCUUUGCAGCAGGAAGAUCUGCAUAGCGCCCUUGUUUCAAUUGAAACACCUCAUGGAACUUAUGUCCAAUAUGAUGCAUCAAUGCAGUUGAUGCCUCUGUAGAAGGAGAGAGAUUAAGAAUUUAAGAAACCACAUGUAAAUCUCUAAAAAGAGGUUUCUCAAGUUGAUAAUCUUUGAGAAUAAUAUAUCCUCAUUUCACAAAGCAGACGAUCAGCUUGAAAUUAUUCUACAUACAAAGACAGGACGAUACCUGUCAUGCCAGGACUACUCAGAGCUCGUUGGAAUUUUAAAUAUUGCAAAGCCCUCAUCCUUCCUUCUCCAGACUGUGGAGACUCAAGCCCACGAGAAGAUACACUCUCACAAGGACUUCCACCUCUGGUAGUUGUACUAGUGACAGAAAAAUUGUCUCCCUCGUUGGCAACUUGUGCUUUAAGUGCUAAAAGGCAAUCCACAACAGGCUUCAUAGAUCCCUGCAAAUAUGAAUAAUAAAGCAUAGAGAGAUAGAAAUGAGUUAGAGUUGACAGAUUAUAAUUCAAAAAGUGCUGCACUGAAACUUAUAAAGAAAUGAUAAUUUCAAAUAUUUUUUUCUUUUCAAAACUUUUAAUGAAACAUGGUUGAAAACUUGCUUACACUGUGACUUAGCAGUAAAAUAUUCAUGUGGAUAAAAAAAGUAAUCGAGAAUCAAAAUCUUUAUUUUCUGAAUUGGGAAUCGAUAAUCGAAUCAAAUGGUAAGAAUUCAUUUUGAUUUAAGAUAAAAAUAUUACAUUGAGAAGAAUUAGUCAUUUAUAUUUGGGAUACCUUCUCUAGGUCUGAUACUUCAAAUUGGUUGAUCCCCAAUUCACCCAUAGCCGCUAGAAACUUUUUGAUGUUUUCUGAGCAUGAUGGUGUAGAAUGAUCAGAGGCAUCCUAAAAUAGAAAAAUAAACUGUGAAAUCGAUAGAACUCAAAGAAUAACUUUACAAAACACAGUCUCAACAAAUCUACAACCUCACUGACAGAACCAGGUCUAAGCUUCUUCAGUAUUUCAAGUAGAACAGUGCCAUCAAACAAGCAGAUUCUUAACUCCUCAGAUGAAGAUUUUAAUGGCAAGUUCAAAUUAGGGACAAUACUAUUCAUCCACUCUAUCAAUAUUAUUUGCUGCUUUGCUGGAGAUGGGCAAAAGUAGAAGCAAAUAAGAAUGCUAAUGGGAAACUUAGUUCAAGAAACAAGGGCACUGAAAGAUAUAAAGGAACUCAACUUUGCUUACCCUCAGUAUCAUCUUUAAUGAUUAUAGUCGAUUCGAAAACACCUGAAGUACCAGAAAAUUUGGGGCUGUUGGCUCUUCCAUAUUGUUUUAUGAGGUUAUCCGACGUCGAAUUCAUAGUGGAAACUAGGAAGGGGCAUUUAGCUUCAAAUCCAAUUAUCAAAACACUCUAAAUGUACAAUUGUCCGACUUUGUCGCUAGCAGUCCUGCAAAGUAAUUAAUAUGAACAUUACAAGCAAAAUCUAUUUGUUCAAAAUGAUCAAAGAAAAUUGCACUAAUUAAUCAAUUAUUGCCAUUAGUUUAUAUUCCAAAAUUAUUAACCUUCACAACUACUUUCUGGCAAAGCCAGCACCCUUUUUCCUCUCUUAUGUUAUUUAGUACUUUCAGGUGAGAGUUAUGGGUUCAAUAUCUAGCCCUUUCUUCUAAAGAACAUUAACAAGAUAAAAAAAAAAUCCUAAAGUUUGGAUCCAUUAAGGGCAGGCAUGUAAAUCUAUUUCAGGAUUUUAUGAACAUAAGUGUAUGUACAUAUACAUGCAAUGUGUGAAAUUUUGCAAUGAAAAUUUGCAUACCUGAUCUGCAGAAUGCAGAAAUAGUUGAAUAGACCUUGCAGGAACAUUUCCCUUUCAGCAUGAGAAGAAACUCAUAUCAAACCAAAGUUUUCUUAAUGAAUUUUGAAGCCCUGAAAAGGGAAAAAUGACAAUUUAAAAACAAAGAUAAGAAGAACCCAAAAAAGAAAAAAGUUAUUUAUGCAAUAUAAAUAUGAACUUCCUUUCCAUGAGCACAAAUUUACUAGUGAAGAAAAUAGUAAUCACAUCAAUAGAUAAAUUCAGCUCUAAAGAGAAGGAAUGCAAGUUUCAAAAUGACGAAUCAGGCAUUGGAGUUAGCUGAAACAUUCAAGCAGAUUAUCAGACAAUCAUAAUUCAAUUCCUUUUCCUAUUUUUUUUCAGAAAAAAAGAAAAAAAUCUGAAAUUCUCAUAAUGUUCAUCUCCAAAACAAGAAUUUGAUGUGAAAAACAGAAUACCCAGAAUAUGAUUACCAGAACUAAAACAAAAAAUGCACAGACAAGGAAAUAUUACAUUAAUGUAGACAAAAAGAAGAAAAGCAUUAAUAAUGAAAUAAUCAAGAUUCAUAUUACCAACCUGAGAAAGGCAGAAAGAUGGGAGAGACGUGAAGCUGUGCACGUUGUUUAACGUAAGAACAAUGAAGGUGUUUGUCAUGUCAGAAAGAGAGAGAAAAUGUUUCUAAUGGAGACUUUUAGAUUUUUUUUGAAAAUUUUAGUUAAGAUUUGUUUGGUAUUCCGUGUACCAUUGGUGGUGUUUGUUCUUGAAGAGUAAGAGAAUUGAAGAGACCAUGCGCAAAAGUAGGAGUGUGAGUCUGUGUAGGUCUCUAAUAAUUUCAUGUGAGCUUUUGCCACGUCUUCUCUUCUAUUCUUUGGUAGUCAGUGAAAUGUGGAAACUGGUCUUUCCCCCCUUGGCCUUCUUUUGUUUUUCUAACCAUAAAUCAUCUUUCCACCACCACUCUUCACAAUAACUUUUCUUUUAAUGAUUUCUUUUAGAAAACAAACAAAUCAUUAUUAUUGGAUGGUAUAUUUUUAAUGUAAUCUUUAAAUUCUUUUAAUUAUAAUUAGUAUAAAAAAAUUAUGCAGAAUUAAUUUUAUAUAUACUUUCUCAAUAUAUAUAUAUAUAAAUUAUUUUAUAAAUUUAGAAUUUAAAUAAUAAAUACUUUUUCAAAUUUUGAAUAAUUAAUUAAAUUAAAUAUUUACACAUUUUAAUGAUUUUAUUUAAAUGUUUUAAUUUAAUAGAAAAUUGAAGAAUUUGUGUAAAUUUUACCAAAAUUAAAAAUCAGAAUUGGGAGAACGUGCAAGGCGUAUCGACAAGUUAAAAUGCCCGAAGAUGAAGCCCAAUCCAAAACCAUGACCCAAAUCCAACCUCGUCGUCUCCUCCCAAAAUCAAAGCUUCGAGUGACUAUUGAGCGGUGAGGCACAGAAGACGAGUAUAGUAUCCAGAGAAAAAAAAAUACAGCGAAAUGGGAAGGAAGACCGGCGUAGCAGAGUUCGAAGAAUCGCCGCCCGAUGACUUUGAUCCGUCGAAUCCAUAUAAGGAUCCGGUGGCGAUGUUCGAGAUGAGGGAGCAUAUUGUCAGGGAGAAGUGGAUUGAUAUAGAGAAGGCCAAGAUCUUGAGGGAGAAGCUCAAAUGGUGUUAUCGCAUCGAAGGCGUUAACCACCUCCAGAAGUGCCGCCACCUCGUUCAACAAUAUCUCGACUCCACUCGCGGCAUUGGCUGGGGCAAGGACCAGCGUCCUCCCUCUCUCCACGGUGCCUUUUCUUUUUCUUUCCUUCCUUCCGUUUCUUUUCAGCCCUUGGAAUUUGAACUCUGCUUACAAGGGAAAUACUAAUUUUUUUUGCUUUGAUUUAUCCAUUUUGCGUUUCAGGUCCUAAGGUGGAGGCAGCUGCUUCUGAGUGAAUGGUCUGCAUUAAGGUAAUAUUAGAUUGUACUUUUACUAAAUUGUGAUCGUUGUGAAGUAUGUUUUAGCUGUGAUUGUUGAUUCUCUAUCUGUGAACCUAUUAUGAUGAGAAAUUGUUGCAUUUGUCCAAUUGCUGUUGCGGGAUUUUGUUUACGUGGUUUUCUAUCGAUAUCUAGGGCUCAACUUAGAAGGAAUGGGGAAUGACUGUACCCUGUUUCAUGAUUGAUUCGUAGGGAUAAAGUCUUCCUUCCUUAAAGCAAUGAUACUGGUUUCAAGUGCUUUUCAAAACUUCUAGAAUGCUGGGGAAGUUUUACUUUUGACAAGUAGAAGAUGGGGAAAAGAAGCUGAGCAUAAGAGUGACUAGGAUCCAUACAUCGGAUAAAUUUUCUGGGAUCCAUACAUAGGAUAAAUUUUAUGUGCACAAGUGCUUGUUUUCGAUUGAGGUUAGGAGAUGAUAUGUUAGGUUUUAUCUUCUUGCAAAUGUUAGGCUAAGAGUUUAAUGUUGUAUAUUUCCAGCAUUUGAGUAUUUUUCUGUGGGGAUGGAGUAUGGAGGAUGGUAAUGUUAUAGACUUGGGCUUUACAGCAGAUGGUUGGUUUUGUUUGGAACGUAAGAAGGAUACAAAAUAACAUAAGAUAAUUUAGCACCCAAUGCUAAUUUAGAGUCAAUAUGUUUAUAAUCUUCUUGGUAUUAAUAGGUUGUUAAAUGAAAGUUGUUGAGUUUGUUAUGUUAGUUAUGGUACUUAAUGGGUUGAUACAUACACUGUCUACUAUCCAUUGUUUAUGUCUAGGACUGCUGUAAUACCUAAACCUGACCAAUGCAUAAGUCAGUCAUGCUCUAUUAGGGGGUGAGCAAUUGGUCAGUUUGGUUCCAAACCGAACCGAAAUCGAAAAUCAAAUUAUAUGUUUUAGAGAACCAAACCAAACCAAACCAAAAAUAAGAACUAACCAAACUGAAUCAAACCGAAAUAAAUCAGUUUGGUUCGAUCACCUAAAACCGAUAUGGUAAAUGUGAAUAAACAGAUUUCAUCCAGAACUACUAAUGCAAAUUGCCAAAAUUUCAAUGCUUCAAUCAAAUCUUCAAGAAAAACCUUAAAAUGCAUAAUUCAAUCUUCAACUAAACAAUAAAUUUCAAUCAGAACAACCAAGAACAAGAAGAAGAAAUAACAAAGAACAAACCCAGAAAUAACACAAACCCAUAAAAUAAUACAAAUUCAGAAAGAAAAAAACUAGAAAAAUCACAAACAAGCAUCUAAGCACGCAGAUUUGAUGAUGUAAUUGUGAAAUUGGAGAGUUCAAAUAUGCGAAAUUCUCGGUGAGACUGGAUGAUCUAUGACAUUCCUCUCCAGUCGGCGACAGAUCAUUUGCCAAGCGCUCGAUAGUCGCCUUGUUGUGCGUGAGAGAGAGAGAAGUUGCUUCCUUGUCGUGAGUGAGAGAGAGAGGUCGCCUUCCUUGCCGUGAGUGAGAGAGAGGGCUAGACGGGUGGAGAGCCGCAACAAAUCAUGAACAAUGUCCUCCCUAAAUCCUCACCGUGAUUGAGAGAGGGUCAAAGGAGGUGGGGGCUAAGUGAGAGAGAGAGAGGGGGCAGCAAGCAGCAACGACGAGGAAGCUGCUUCUUUGUGAGCGGCAAUGACUUGAGGGAGGCAGGAGAGAGGAUAGGAAGAAUAAAAGGGGUGGCUAUACAAAUGGGUUAGGGUUCCAUUAUAUUGUUUAUAUAUGAGGCAAUUUAGUUCGGUUCGGUUUUCAGUUAAAAACCAAAAACUGCUCAGCCACGUGCUCUAUAUGAUGUAAGAGGCUUAGAAACAUAGAAACAUCUCUCCUUCUAGCAAGCACUAGGUUUCAUUGUUUUUGGGCCUUGGGCUUCAUGUUAGUCAUUGAGUUAGCUGAAUUUCAAUAGCUCCUUUAGAGAAAAUUACUAUUUAGUUCAUGUGAUAUGAAAAAACUCGUUAGUUGAUCUUUCGGUAUUGAAAAAUAUAUUAAAACGUGUCUAAAAUUUUAAAAAGUCUACUAGAUAGUCCCAGUGGUGGAGCCACACUUCUAUGGGUCCCCCUGGAAUUUUCAAAAAGGUUAGUGUCUAUUUUGAACUUUUACAAAGAUUAGGAUCCUUAUGAAAUUUUGAAAAAUCUAGGGUCUCUCUAAUAAAAUUUACAAUUAAUUCUUCUUAUUUUUUGUUGGUAAUAAUAAAGCCCUUGACUUAUUGCAAUUAAGCCUUAUUACAUUAAGCCCCCUAACUUCACAAUUCAUUCUAAAUUACAGCUUAAAUUUUUUAUUUUAUAACACUUAUAUUCUAUUAAAUAUAUUUAUCAUUAGAAGGGCUACAAAUUUCAUUUAAUGCUUAUUUUUUUUAAAAUUAAUAAGAAAAUAUCAAUUUUGAUGCAUACUCUAUCUUAUUUAAUUAUUAUGAUAUUUUACUAAAUUUAAUGAGUUGAUAAAAAAAUAUUUGGAUAUAUAGUUUUACAUUUUUUUUAUAGUUUCUUUCUAAUAUCAAAAUUGAUACAAGUAAAAGAAAAUUUAAUGCUCACAAUACGAAGAGAGUAAUUAAUAGAUAUUUUUACAAAAUGAGAGGACAACUAAUGAUUUUUUUUCAUGCUACAAGGAUUAAAUAGUAAAAUAUUUAACGGUUAAAAUUAAUGAAAUGACUAAUUAAUAGAUUUUUUAAAAUUUUAGGGCGUUUUAAUUUAUUUUUCAAAACCGAUGGACCAACUAAUGAGUUUUCUCAUACCACAGGGAUUAAAUAGUAAAUUUCUCUUUUUUAAAUUAUGAUGUACUGAGCCUAAAGCCCUUUUCUCAAAUCAAUGAAUGUUUUGACCUUUGAUUUUUUUUUUAAAAAAUAUCUAUUUCAUAUAGAAGCCCCUAUCUGUGGGGUCCCAAUCUCAUCAUUCAGAAUUUUAAAUGAUAAGAUGUUAAUGGGACAACAAUUUGAUAUGAUGACUCAACUUUGAUGGCAUGUUUUUGAUAUUUAUUUUGGUUGAGGGGACAUUGCAAGGCUUUUUAAAAUUAAAAACAAACAUGGUGUGUGGGAGAAAUAAUAGGAGAUGAAAUUUUUUUAAUGAUUCAUGAGGAGACAAUAGAGAGAGAAGUUGCUACAACAGUAUUUAGUUUGGUGGAGAAGCUGUUGCAAAGUUUAUUAGAAAAAAAUGAAAAUUUUAUGCAAUUCUAUGGUGUGUGGUGCAACAUACAAGGGUGUUUUGGUAGGGCUACCAUGCCUUAAAGAAAAAAAGGAGUGUACUUGGACCAGCCUCUUAAUUGAAUUGGAUCCUAUUAUUGAGGACUUCGGCAAAGCAAAAUUCUAAUUCCUUGGGACUUGGUAGUUAUAAUAGGAAUUACAUAAUAAUAAGUUGUUAGAAUCAAGAAUAAUAAGAUUCUAAUAUUCCAACAGGGAUAAUGAAUAAAUAUAUUAAAUUUCUCUAUCUGUAGGAUAUAGAUUCCACCUGAUUUGUUAUUGUGUGAUAAAUCAUAUAUUUUGUACAUGAUAAUUGUCACAUCACUUUCUUCUCAUUGUCUUUGUUGUCAUUGUAAUAUAUGCAAUUGAUGCAGUCAUUUGGAUGUGAAAAUGGCUUAAUAAUUUAGCUUUUAAUCAUAGCAAGGAAAUAAUUUAGCUUUUAAUCAUAGCAAGGAAAUAAUUUAAGUUUAAAACAUAUAUGAUGUAUGUGGUUCUGAUUGUGAAAUGGAUUACUUGGCACCAAGUUGGAUAUAUUUUCUUUCAUUAUGGUAUAUAUUAGUGCACAAGAGCGAGCAUUUCUACUGCUCCCGAUCUUUGCAAAGCCGGGGAGGUUCAUAAAUAUGCUCUUUUAAUUGUUUGCAAGUCCAAGUGAACAUAAAAAUAAUAAUUUGCAUAAUUGAAGAUAAAAUGAGGUUUUUUGGUUUUUUUAAUGCUUGCAGGUGACUAGAAUUAGAAGACGAACUCAAGAAGAGGGGAGAAGCUGUUAUAUUAGGUUAAUGCAUUGCUGUUAUUUGUGUUUUGCUUAAUUUUGGAUUAUUAUCGUCCACAGUGCUAAAUUAUCUCUUAAGUCCAUGUACAGGGACCAGAAAUUACUACCUCUGGAUCUCAUAAUCCAGUUCUUUAAUGAACAUCCAAAUAACAUCAGUGAUGUGGACAUAGAUGGCCAAGGAAUGAAAGCAGCUUAGAUAAUGAAAUAAAAGAUUUCCUUUCAUUGCUUGCUUUUGUUUAAUUGUGAUUGCUGAUUUGGGGAAGGAGAAAGAUACAUUGGAAUUUUUAUAUAAUUUUUGGGUUGGAGGGAUCUUGUAAGAUCCGAAAGCUUUCACGUCUUGUGUUUGGAAAAAUUUAGUUAAUUUGGCUAUAAUAGCAUUUCUGGAUGUGAAAUCAUAAGUUUAAGUAGUGGUGGCGGCCUUGACAAUUGGCGGGGUUGUCAUUUUCAUUGUUUCUUUCUCUUAUUCUAGCUUUUAGUUUCGACCUUUUCUUGCACUUAGUCAAAUGGUUUUGGGUGUGAGAAUUUGAAAAUGUUAAGCCGCCUAUUGCCUCCCUUGAGUUGAGGAUUUGGAGUUCUCUUCCACUUUUUUUUUUUUUGGGGCUGGGAAAAUAGAAUUAUUCUAUAGAAAUUAUAACCUAGUCCCUGUUUACAACUCUCCCUGUUUACUCGUUGAAAACAAUUUUCCUAUUUUUCAUUUUCAUGCAAAGUUGACAAAAAAAGUUUAAUUAUUUAUUUUGGCCUGAAUAGGCUAUUCAACCGAGGAAAUUUAUUUUUUAAAAAUAAUAAUUUUUUAUUAAAAAUAUUUUUCAAUAAAAUAAUUUAUUUAUUUUAAAGACAGAAAAUAAUUUUUUUUCUUUUAAGUAGAAAAAGCUAUUUCUUUUAAAAUGACCUCCUCUUGUUUCUAUAGGAGAUUUUUUUUUUAAAGUAAUUUAAUUUUUAUUUUAAUUAAAAAAAAAAUUUUCACUUAAAAAGUUAAAAAAAUAUAUAAAAAAUACUUUUUAAAAAAUACUUUUUCAUAAAACAAAAAUCGGGUUAAAAAUAGAUUGUGCAGCCAAGUCUUUAUGCAAAAUUAUAAUUUAAAUUCGCAUAGAUUGUACAAAAUUAUAUUUUAAAUUCGCAUAGAUUGUGCAUAUACUUAGAUGUCGCAUGCCAAGUUUUUCUGAAUUUAUCAAUAAUAUUUUUUUGAGGUUGAUGUAAAAGCUAUAUGGUAGAUAUUGGCUCUAUGAAUUUCUUAUUAUAGUCGUCUCUAACAUGAACUUUUUGCUAGCAUCAAUCUUUUGCUUAAAAACAAAACACAACAUAAUUAAUAGACCCAAAAAAAAAAACAAAGAAAGAAAGAGGGGAUACUUUUUGCUUAGAUCGUUUGGGUUAGGCUUCCUACAUAUCCCAUAACCUCUUAGUUUUACCUGAUUUAGUAAAAACCAAAGCUAAAAACUACAUAUUUAAGUAAAAUACAUAUGCUUAUUAGAGGAUCAUGGAAGUGCAAUGAUGGGUUUAGGGACAAAAGUUCAUUUGAUCUAUCUCCAAACUGCUUUGUUUAGAUCUUCUCAGCUUUCUGCAAAUAAUUGUCUAUCUCAUUCUCGGCAAUUAAUGAAGAAAUCUAAGGACUUUGGCUUUGUGCAUAUGCCAACUUGUGAAGAACAGAAGAGGAAGAAAUUGCCAUACUUGCAAGCACAUGAACGUUGUAGCUUGUAAAACGUAGUGUCGACUCUGAUCUCCUUCACAUGAUAAAGAAAAAUGAAAGUAAACAUAUUGAACAUAAGCUAAGCAAAUGUUUUGACUUACCUGGCUUUACGGUUUGAAUCUUUGCAGAGAUUUAAUUAAUGGAACAAGAUGAUUGAUGAAGGAGCUCCCUUCAGUCCAAUGGGUGAGCGAAGCACAGAAGGAGUUGCUCCCACACCAUGCACUUGGCCAAACUUAACAUUUUAACAUUUCUUUAAUGUCAAGUAUUGCCAUGGUGCAUGAGAUGGCAGCUCUUGCUGCGAUCAGCCCUCCGUAUUGGACUGAAAGGAGCUCCCAUGCUCUCUCUCUCUGCACUUUUUUCUUGAAUAUCAUCGCAGAAUGGAGGUGGUCUUUAUAUAUAUAUAUAUUUUAAUCCAGUGGAGCCUGGAGGAGAGGAUGCUAUAGACCAAGGGAUCUUCUAAUUUGUUUUUGGGUUUGAAUCUUGGCAUGUGAUAUUCAGGUGGUUUUGUUCUUAUGCAACAAUUUUCUUUAAAAUAAAAAAUAAAAUAUUUAAGACUCAAUAAAUUUAAGAUUUCUGAAAACAAUCUUUUUUUUAAUCACAGUUAUUAUUGAUUCAUUACACUAAAACUAAAUAAUAUUCUCCACAUACUAAGAAAAUAUGUAUUUUCGGUAAUUAUUUACUCUACAUAUCAAAAUUAAAUUUUUGACUAAAAAAAUAUCAAACCAUUCUUAUUAAAUUUUUUAAUUUUUUAAAAAUUCAUUAAUUUGUCUUUAUUUUAAAUUUGUUAUUAAAAUAUAGUUGUUAAAUAACGAUUAAUUAUUUUAAAUAUUUAUAUUGUUUAAUCAUUAUAAUUUUAAUUAUAUAUAUUAUUUAGUUCACAUAAUUUUAAAUAUUUAUACUAUUUAAUUUCUUUAAUUAAUUAUAAAAUAAACUGAUAUAAUUUUUUUUAUUUUUUAAAAAUACAACAAUAUUUAAUAGAGUAAUUUUAAAAUAAAUAUCAAAUUUUUUAAAAAAUUGGAGAUUUAAUAAUGAAUUUAAAUAUUUAAUUUAAUAAUUAAUAAACUAUUCUUAUAUGGGAAAGAACUUGUAAAAGGGUACACUCUAUUUUCAAUGUAGUCAAGUCAAAUCCGAGUAAUCAAUCUUUGGUGAUUUUCAAAGUUACUGAAUGCAUGCAACAAAGCAGGACAACACAUUCCCUGAGAAUUUGUAAGCAAACUCAGAACAGAAAAUAAAAGAUAAAGAAACGAGAAUUUCCAUUUUUUUUCUGGUAACUUAAAGCUUACAAAUGAAAUGGUACACAUAAUAAGAGACAAAAGAAAUCAUCAAUUCAAGAGUUUGAGAAGAAAGAAUCUGAUUCCAAAAUCACUAAAAAAAGCUACAAACACUAAAUCCCACCACUGCAUGGCUAUUGCCUAGGGCUAUUCCUAAACCUAAACCUAAAGACUGUCCUCGUAACUCAAACAUAUUUGAUCAUCUUUUGUACUCUCCCCUUUUUUGCCCUAAUUAAUAAUAAGACAAACUCACUUGCUAUCCGAUGCUAAUUCUAUAUAUGGGAUUGUAGCAUGCUAUCAUAAGAGGUCCGACAUUAUCCAGUAUUCUAAUAAAAUAAGUUGGAUCGGUAUAUAAUAUAAUAUAUUAUGGAUUGGAUAGUAGCAAAUCUAAAUUUCGUUAGCCGGGGUGUGGAGGACGGGAGCUCCUUACUUGAAGGCGGGGUUUUAGGGCUCUACUCCCGAGGUGAAUUUUUUCUAGAAUUAUUUUAUUUUUUUAUAUUUUUUCUGAACAUAUAAAUAUAUAAUAUUUUUCUAGUGUAUUUUGUUUAAAAACUUAUAAAAAAAAAAUAAAAAAUUGCCUUAUGGCCUGACCUUAUUUAGUGGGAUCAAUACUCGAAUGGCUUGAUAAAAAUUGUCUUAUGAUCUUGCUUAGUGGGACUAACGCCUGAAUGGUCUAGCCUGAUGAGACUGUCUUAUGGCCUUGUUUAGUGUCUUUUUGAGGGAGGCCAUCCCAUUAUUCCUUGUUACCUAAGAACACUACAUGUGAAAAUACCUUGUUAAUUUGUUAUUGAUAAAACUUUCUCAUAUUACAGAUGUUCCAAGAAUGGGGGAAUGACUUGACUAUCUAACUUGGCUAGCUUAUAUGAUCCUGGGUGAAUAAUCUUCGAGACCCUGAACAGUCCUUUCCAAUUCUCACCCAACUUAUUAGACCCCACACUAUAACCCGUUACAUCUAUUAUUUUAAGGACUAGAUCCCCUAUAUUGAAGAUGUGUGGCUUCACCUUACUGUUGAAUAUUCUAAACAUCUUGUUUCUGUAAAUCGCUAUUCUGAUUGCAACAUUUUCUCGCAGGAAUUCUGCUUAGUCCAAAUUGAAUUGCUUUUCUUAAGGAUUUCCUGACAUCUCAAGAUAUUGUGUCCUAAAGCUGCCUACUUGGAUUUCUAUGGGAAUGACUGCCUCAGCCCCGUAUACAAAAAAAAGGGCGUUUUUCCUGUAGCUGUCCUGGGGGUGGUUCUGUAUGCCCAUAGCAUAUGGGGUAACUCUUUGAGCCAAUUGCCCUUGACUUGGUUGAGUUUUUUCUUCAGACCUAGUAGGAUGAUCAUGUUUAUCACCUCAGUCAUACCAUUGGUUUGGGGGUGAUAGGUUGAACUGAACCUAAAGUCAAUUUCUUAUUUCUUGCAGAAGUCUUUGAACCUGGUGCUUACAAACUGAGUUUCAUUAUCGGUGAUUACUCUCUUUGGUAUUUCGAAUCGAGUGCAUAUACUUUUACUGAUGAAGAAAAUCACUUGUUGGGUAGUGAUGGACUGUACUGUCUCAACCUCUGCCCACUUGUUAAAAUGAUCUACCACCACGAUAACAAACUUUCUUGACUCGGUUGACUUAGGGAACGGGCCAAGGAUAUCUAUCCCUACUGAAAGAAAGGUGAGGGACUUCCAAUGGCCGCUUGCAUUUCUCUCGAGAUCCUUAAGAUGUUUGCAUGUACUUGAUAUCUUUAACACCUCUAAACAAGUUGUUUCGUGUCUUCUAUUAUCAUCGGCCAGUAGUAUCCUUGUCUAAAUGCUUUCUGAGCAAUCAUUCAAGCUCCUUCGUGGCUCCCGCAAUCACCUUCAUGGAUAUCCUUUAAGAUUUUCUGGCCUUCUUAAUAACACACCACAAUCAUAGAUGUGUAGAGGACCUCCUGUAUAAUCAACCAUCAAUUAGUGCGUAUUUAGAGGACUUCCUUAUUACCUGUUUGGCUGAUAAUUUAUCGGCUAGACGGUUAUCUUGUGUCAAGAAUUGGUAUAUUGGCGUCAUCCAUGGUUCUCCUUCUUCUAUAGGAAAGGAUUCUUCCACUUUCGUUGUUGGAUUGUGCAAUUUCUCAAACUGAAAUGGUUGGGUUAAGUGUUGUUCACUCGUCACUGCCAUCUUGGCUAGAAGAUCCGCCUCUUCAUUGUUGUUUCUGGUCACCUGGCAAAGUUCACAACUACUCUGCCCAUCUUUAAUCUUGUCCAUCAGGGACUAAAUCUUCUCCUCGUAUUUGAUAAGAUUCGGUUCUCGGAUUCUAAAUUAUCCCUGACAUUGAUUAACAACCAAUUGUGUGUCACUAAAAAAUAGAUUUUUGUAUAUCUAAUUUCUUGAUGAUUCUUAGGGUUAUUAUUACAACCUCGUAUUCGGCUACAUUGUUGGUGGCAUUGAAGGUGAGUUUGGCCGUAUAUCGAAACUUUAUCCCUGUCUAAGAUUGCAACAGGAUCCCGAUUCCUGAACCCCCAGCUUCGCAAGCUCCAUAUGCUUAGACCUUUCGUUCCUUUAUGUUCUCCUCUAAGGACCCUGAAGGCUCUAACGGUGGAGUCAUCUCUGCAACAAAGUCGGCUAGUACCUAAGUUUUCAUGGCCUUCCUUAGAACAUACUUGAUAUCAUAGGCUGACAAUAUUAUUACCCAGGUGGAUAACCGUCCUGACAACUCCGGCUUAUGUAGAACAUUUCGUAAAGGGUAAUCUGUUCUGACUUCUAUAGUAUAUAACUCGAAGUAUGGCCAUAGCUUUGUGGCUGAUAUUAGCACUGUGAAUGUUAACUUUUCGAGGGGAGAGUAGUUCAAAUUUGCCCUCUUUAACACCUAGCUAGCAUAGUAUACUGGACUUUGCUCCUCAUUAUUUUCAUGAACAAGUAUUGAGUAAACUGUUUUCUUUGUUACAGAUAGGUAUAGAAAUAAAAUUUUGCCUUCAACUGGCGGACUUAGCAAUGAAGGGGAUGUUAAGAAGGUUUUUAGACUUUCAAAUGUUUCUGCACACUCUUCUUCAUAUUCAAACUUGUCUUUGCCUUUCAAAGCUUUGAAGAAUGGGAAAGGCACUUUCUGGCCGAGCAUGGUAUGAAACGACCCAGGGCAAUGACCCGCCCAUUCAACCUUUGUACCUCAUUAAUAGUUUUGGGUGCUUCUAUGUUUUGGAUGGCGUUGAUCUUUUCAGGGUUUGCCUCUAUAUCACUUUCUGAGAUUAUAUAUCCUAGAAACUUUCCAGCUUUUACUCUGAAAGUACACUUUUCAGGAUUCAACUUCAUACCCGCCUUGUCUAGGACAUCAAAAACUUUUCGAAUAUCCUCUGGAUGGUCUUCCAAAGAUUGAGUUUUCACUACCAUGUCAUCCACGUAUACCUCAACUGUUGAUCCCACCAUUUCCUUGAAGAUUCCUAACACCAGCUUUUGGUACGUUGCCCUUGUGUUCAAUCUGAAAGGUAUUACUUUGUAGCAGUAAACUCCUUUAUCUGUUAUGAAUACAAUCUUUUCUGCAUUUUCGGUAUCCAUCAUGAUUUGGUGGUAUCCUAAAAUAGCAUCAAGGAAGGAGACCACUAUAUGCCCUAAGGUCGAGUCCACUAAUCUGUCAAUGGACGGUAACGGGUAGUGAACUUUCGGACAUGCUUUAUUUAGGUCAGUAAAGUCCACGCACAUCCUCUAAUUUUCGUUAGCUUUCUUUACUAGGAUCGUGUUGGCUAGUCAUGUGAGAUACUGGACUUUCUUUAUUAACUCUACACUUAGAAGUUUAUCAACCUCUUCUUUGAUCUCCUACUGCCCCUCUGGUGCGAACUUCCUUUUCUUUUGUUGGACUGGUUUGACGGUCUUAUCAAUGAAUAGUUUAUGGGUGAUGAGAGCUGGGUAUACACCUAUUACAUCUUUUGGAGACAAAGCGAAAGUGGUUACUCUAUUCUUCAACAACUUUAUUAAAUGAACCUUUAUUUCUCCGGUUAAUGCAGUGCCAAACUGCAUCUUUUGCUCCUUUCCUACUUGGACCUCCUCUACUGGAUCUGUGGGUUUUGGCUUUAUGUGAGAUUCUGGCAGGAUUUCCGUAAUCUUUUUUGUCUGAUCUCGGACUGCUGCUAUUCCCUCCGGAGUUGAAGUUUAAGACAAUAGCACCCAUAUUAAUAACAAUACCGUGGUAGUUUAAGAUCAGACGACCGAGUAUCACGUUGUAUGCAAAUGGGAUAUCUACCACCGCGAACUCUGCAUAUAACUCUCGCAUACACUUUUCAUCUCCGAGUACCAAGGGAAGGUUGAUGGUACUUAGUAUUGCCAUGGUUUUAUCUCCCAACCCUAAUAAGGGAUAGGAGGCUCUGAUAAAAUUAUUUUUUGUAACAGCCCGAAAACUGAACUGCUACCGGCACUAGGAUCCAGAUCGACUUAAGGUCGCCGGGACCCGUAGUAAGCCUGCUAUCUUGUCUGUGUACCUGUGAAAUCCCAUACAUAAUCAUACUUUUUCUGUCAAACUAUAAAACUGUUCUGUCCUCUAGGGCUUAACCUGUGCAUGCACUGUAUCUCUGCUAUUAUAUCCCCACUCUAGGCGGAUAUUCCUCAUAUUGUUAAGCCUGGUUUUCUCAUAAACAUACAACUCAUAAACAUACACUGCAAAUAAAAUACUGAUCAUGUGUACACACAAAGGGAUUACAACUCUUAUAAGUCAAGCACAAGUCUAUACACUGUACACUAUCUCUUUACAAUUACAUGUCCACAGUAGCUAUUACAAAACUCUUCUUCUUCUACACUCUGCUGGACUCCCUUCUGGACUCUGAACCUGCACAACUGGGGUUAGGGGAGAGGGAUGAGCUAUACAAGCCCAAUGAGUAGAACUAUAAAACAUGAUCUCAUGGAAUGCAUCACAUCACAGACAUUUCAUCUCAAGGAUAGACAUGACCACCAAAAUUCCCACUGGGAGGAUGCCUGGCCUAGCCAGGUCUUACAACCAAAAUUUGCCUGGCCCGGCCAGGUCUUACAAACUCUGCUCGCCUGGCCCAGCCAGGUCUUACGAUAAUCUGCUGCCUGGCCUAGCCAGGUCUUACCUACAGAAGGCUGCCUGGCCCGGCCAGGUCUUACACAGAGUUAGGGCUAUUGGGGUCGCCUUGGUCCAUCCAUCUCAUCAUAGACAUCGUAUUAUGCAAUGCAAUGCGUCAUAUUCGUGAAACUAGUGUAAUCAACCUACUAUAGUCAUCAUGAUGCAUGCAAUAUGCUAAAAGCAUUGUAGUUCUGCUGAAAAGAGAAGUGCCACUCACCGCUGGUAGCCUCGGAACUACCUCUGCAGGUUCUGAUGCAGUACUCACUGCUGACUUCCCUGAUUCCUCUGGUCCGUUCCUACACAGGUGGACUCAAAUGAGGGACUCCCCAAAAGACCUCUAAAAGAUCCUAAAACAAUCACAUAAAACAUGCAAAAGAAAGCUGGACAGGGCACUUUCGGCGGCAUAUUCGGCGGCCGAAACCCCUCUCCAGAGAUGAAACUCAUGCAUGUUCGGCGGCACUUUCGGCAGCCGAAAGUCUUGUCCAGAGACGAACCUCAACCUUCGGCGGCACUUUCAGCGGCCGAACCUUGCCUCCAGAGACGAAAGUCCAAAUGUUCGGGGGCAAGCUUUGGCAGCCGAAACUGCCUCCACAAGGGGUUCGGCGGCCGAACCUUCCUUCGACGGCCGAACCUGGCUUUGUCCAGAGGACAGAACCCUGCUCUGUUUCCUGUAAAUCUCCCCCAAAAGUUACCCAACAUGCAUAGCAACUACUCCCAACUAACACAUACCAUAAAACAUGCAUAAAGAGGUCCAAAACUAUCCUAAACCCUCCAACAAACAACAUUUAACAUGCUUACACAACAAAUCUCCCAAAAACCUCAUCUAAACCUAAUCAUGCAUACUACCCAUCAAACUUCCAUAAAACCUUCAAAACUCAUCAAAGAAGUUCAGGAUCAACCCUUACCUCCUAAAGAACUUGAGGAGGAGUGAUCCUAACGUGGAGAUAGGGAGAAAACCUCUUCCAAAGCUCCAAGCUUCAAAACUUACUAUGUUUGCUCAAAACCUUCAAAACACACCAAAACUCUUAAGAACUUGGAAAGAUUUGGUGAAAAACAUGAAAAACAUGAAAGUCAACGUGGGAGAGGCUUGAAUGCACCUCUGGCUGCAAGUGGAGGAGAAAUAUCCUCCUUCCACCGACCCUUGGCCCUUUUAUAGGUGGCUGGCCAGACCACCUUCGGCAGCCGAACGUGAAUCCGAAACCAUGCAAUGUUCGGCGGCCGAAAGUGACCUUCGGCGGCCGAACCUUUGCAUUUCUCCCUUGUUGCUUUUCUUUCAAAACUCAUUUCCUUUAACACUUUCAAACAUUCCAAACUCUUAAACCACACAUGAAAACAUAUGUCUUACCCUUCUCGAGGGUUCCGACACUCGAGAUUCCACCGAUCUACAGGAAUUCUGAUGUCGGACUCAAGCCGGGUAUUACAUUCUCCCCCCCUUAAGAACAUUCGUCCCCGAAUGUUCCUCAAACAUAAAGCACAUAAACACAUAGGAAAGGGAAAAACGACCUUAAAACAGAUAUGGGUAUUGCUGGAGCAUAGACUCUCGUGUCUCCCAAGUGCACUCUUCUAAGUUGUGGUGGUUCCAUAGGACUUUCACCAUUGGUAUCUCCUUGUUUCUCAGCUUUCUGAUCUGUGUCCAAGAUCUGUACUGGCUGCUCUUCAUACGUGAGAUCCCCAAGGAUCUCUACAUCAGGCUCACUGAGAACCUUCUCUGGAUCUGACACAAACUUCCUCAACAUAGAAACAUGGAAUACCGGGUGAAUUCGUUCCAUCGAUGCAGGUAAAUCCAGUUUAUACGACACAUUUUCGAUCCUCUGCAAAAUCUCAAAAGGACCAAUGUAUCGUGGGGCUAGUUUACCCUUUCUUCCAAAGCGAACCACUCCCUUCAUUGGAGACACCUUUAGCAAUACCAUAUCCCCCUCCUGGAACUCUAUCUGCUUCCUACGAAUGUCUGCAUAGCUUUUCUGUCUGCUCACAGCUGUUCUGAUCCUCUCUCUGAUCAUAGGCACCAACUUGCUGGUAAUCUCCACUAACUCUGGCCCUGCAAGAGCCUUCUCUCCAACCUCUUCCCAGUAAACAGGUGUUCUACACUUCCUUCCAUACAGAGCUUCAUAAGGGGCCAUCCCUAUGCUAGCAUGAUGGCUGUUGUUGUAGGCAAACUCCACUAGUGGUAGAUGCUGCCUCCAAGAACCGCCAAAGUCUAACACACACAUGCGCAACAUAUCUUCUAUGGUCUGGAUGGUCCUUUCUGACUGACCGUCUGUCUGUGGAUGGAAAGCAGUACUGAAAUCCAAUCUUGUGCCCAUAGCAGCUUGCAGACUCCGCCAAAAUCUGGAGGUGAACUAAGGUCCUCUAUCUGAUACAAUCGACACUGGAACUCCAUGCAGCUUUACUAUUUCGUCCACAUAUACCUGCGCUAGCUUGUCUACAGAAUAGUUACUCCUAACUGGAAUGAAGUGGGCAGAUUUAGUGAGUCUAUCCACAAUCACCCAUAUGGAGUCUACUCUGUUAGACGUCGCCGGUAACCCCACUACAAAAUCCAUAGCUAUGUUCUCCCAUUUCCACUCUGGAAUCGGUAGUGGGUUCAGCAUUCCAGCCGGCUUCUGGUGCUCUAGCUUCACCCUUUGACAUGUUUCGCAGGCUGACACGAACUGUGCCACUUCUUUCUUCAUUGCUGGCCACCAACUCAUUUCCUUUAACACUUUCAAACAUUCCAAACUCUUAAACCACACAUGAAAACAUAUGUCUUACCCUUCUCGAGGGUUCCGACACUCGAGAUUCCACCGAUCUACAGGAAUUCCGAUGCCGAACUCAAGCCGGGUAUUACAUUUUUAUCCACGUCUAAUUUAUUAAAAACGUUUAAGAUGAGAAGGUUAAUAGAGCUACAUAUAUCCACCAGUACCCUCCUUACCUCAUAUCAGUUUAGGAGGAUCUUAAUGACCCGCGAGUCAUUUUAGAAGAAUCUAAUCGCCUUGUUUGCAAGCCAAAUCUUACCUCUUGCCUAGUCCAUGGUUCUUGAUGGAUGGAUAGGAUGUCUUCUGCUACCUGCUUUUUUUUUUUUUUUACCUAUGAUGACAUAUACAAUUCUGGCAAUUUUCAAGAAUAGAGAAGAAAAAAAAUUCCUUCUUUAAGGAGAAAAAGGAAUAAGAGUCUAGCAUAAACCCAAAAGAUUAGAGAGAAUUCAAUGGGUUUUUCGGUAACGGAACCAAAUGAUGUUGCUGAGAUUAAAUUGAUGACGUGGUUGGAAUGAAGCUGUACUGUGAUUGGCUAGAACCUGCAAGAGAGAAAGUGUGAGGCGGUGGGCAUCCACUCCGAUGCUUAAGUCAGAACAGAGAGAAUGCAAUAGAUAAUUUAGAGUUUGAAUAGUAUUAGAGAUAGCAUAUUUUUGUAUUUGUGAUCAUUCUUUUUUCACACUGUAAGAAAAUGGAGAUAAAUAUAGUGUUUCUUGAAAAUUCGACGAUGAUGUGGUUGACUGCUCGAUAGUGGGCAUCGACAGCUAAUAGGCAGGUGAUCCUGCGAUCACAAGCGAUAUGCUGGACUGUGUCUAAUAACAAUAAUUUUGUGUCAAAACUCGGUCUAUCAGGGGCGAGUCUUGACGACAACUGGAGCGUUAAAGUGUCCAGAUCUCUUAUUCUGUGGCGGGACCACUUUUUCCGCUUAUAUUUUUUUGUCACGUAACUUUUGUUUUAUGAUGACAACUCAUAAUUUAUUUUGGAUAAAUAUUAUGUAAUAUCCAUAAUUAUGGUAGAAAUAGAUUUACGGAUAAAUUAAUAGAUGGAUUUAAAUAAUAUUAUAUCUAUUAUUUAAACUUUUUAUAUAAAUAAAUAAUUAAUUAAAUAUGAAAUAUAUAUUUUAUAUAAUAUUUAUAAUAUUUUUAGAUAUUCUCUUUUACAAAAAUAAAUUUAACGUAUUUUAUAGAAAUAUUAAGAUUUUUUAAAAUAAAUUAUUAAUGAAAGAUAUAUAUUUCUAUAUAUUAUUAUUUAUUUAUUAAAUGAGUUUAAAUAUUAUUAGAAUAAUAAUUAGAUCUGGGACAAAUUUAAAUAGUUUAUAGUAUUUUAAUUAAGGAUAUAAAUGUUAAUUUUAAUAUGAAAAUUAAAAACAUUAUAUAUUUUUAUCAUUUAAAAAAUAAUUAAGUAAAAAUUGCAUAAAAAGAUAUUUAAUUUUUUAUAUUCAAAAUAUAAGGAUUAAAAUAUUUAAAUUUCAAAAUAAUAAGGCAUAAAUGUUAAUUUCUGAAAGUAUUUUAUCCUUAACAUUAAUUAGUGCUCAAUUAAUAUCAUAAAAAAUAAGAAAAUUUUUUAAAUAAAUAUGUUCUAUUAUGAACCAAGUUAAUUCGAAAACAUAAAAUAUAAAUAAGUAAGUUUUCUUUUUUUUUUUUUAUAUAGAAAGUCUGUUGAGUAUUAAAUAAAUUGAAUUAAUUAUUUUAAAUUAAAUAAAUAAUAAUAAUUUUAAUCAGAUUAUUACUGUCUAUAUAAAUCUGUCAUUGAUUUUUUGGCAACCAUAUGAAUUGCCAAUUAAUUCUAUAAUAUAUAUAUAUAUUUUUUCUUUCAUUCCUUCUACAAUUUUUAUUUACUUAUUUUUAAUUAUUUAAAAAUUAUUAUUCAUUUUUUAAAUUAUAGUAAUAUAUAAAUUAACUGUUGUAAUUUUAUUUUAUUUUAUUUUAUUUUUAAGAAAUUUUUUAAAAUUUUUAUUAAUGUAUUUAAGAGGAUUAUAAUUGAAAAAUUAAUAAAAAAUUUAUAUUUUUUAGUAAGUAUGAAAAAGUAUAGUGAAUUAAAAUUAUAAGAUUUUCUAUAAUAAAAGAAUUAAACAAUAAAUUUUACUAUAUAUAAUUUAAGUUAAAAAAUAUUAAAUAAUUUAAAUUAAUUAUUUUGAUUUAAAUUAAAAAAAGAGUUUAAAAAUUAUUAAAAUAAAUUGGAGUUAAGAGUGGUUACGAUAUUUUCACGUUUUAUAAUUUUUGUCUAUCUCUUUUUAGUUAUUUUAAUGUUAUUGUCAAUUUUUUUAAAUUAUAAUAAUAUAUAAAUUAAAGAUUAUAAUUUUAUUUAAUUUUUUCUGAUUUUUAAUAAAUUUUUUAAAAUAUAUAUUAAUAUUUAAUAAAAUUUAAAAUAAAUAUAAUUAAAAAAUUAAUAAAAAAAAUUAUGAGACAGACUGAAAUUUUAUCCAUCAUCAUCAACAACAUUUUAAAUUUAAUUUAUUAUGAAUGAAAUGUCUAAAAAUGAAUUAAUUAUUAGAAUUAUUUUACUAAUUGGUCUGAUCAAUUCAACUAAUUUGAUUGAAAAACUUUUUUAAAAAAUAAUUCUAAGAAUAAGAAGACAAAAUUUGUUACCAGAAUAAUAAGAUUUUUUUUUGUUUUUAACAUAUUAUGAUGGAAUUUAUAUUUUUUGAAGAUGACAAUCCAAUAAUUUAAAUUUGAAAAUGUCAAAUUGAAAAUUAAAUUAUAAAUUGAAAUUCUUUUUGUAUGAAUUGUACACUCAGAUUUGCUAAAUGAAGGGAAGAUUCCUGCCAUCUAGCCGGCCUCUAGAACCUAGCUAGAUGAAAGGAAAAGAAAAAGUAAAAAAAAAAAUAAAAAUAAAUCCAUAUUAUUAAUUAUGCAAAUAAUUUCUUUAACCAACAAAAUAUUUAUGAAUUAAGAUUAUAAGUGUUUUUAAAAAUUCUAUAUAUAUUUUUGUUAAAUUUUUUAAUUAUUUCAAUUAUAUACACAAAUGUUUUUGAGUGAGAUAUUAUUAAAUAGAGGUGUAAUAUAAAUUUAAGAGAAAAAUAUAAAAAAAAAUUAUGUGAUUUUAUUUAUUUUCAUUUUAAGGUUUAUAAUUUAAUUUAUAUUAAAAUAGUACAGAUAGUAUUAUGUCGAUAAUAAAUAGUAGUAAUUUUAUGAUACCGUAAAAAAAUAUGGACGUGGCAAGUAAAAUAUAUUUAUUAAUUAAAAAAUAUAUAUAAAAAAAUAUAAUGCACUUAUUUUUAUUUUAAAGCCUAUAAUUAAUAUUUCGUGAUAUAAUUUUUAUAUCAAUAUUUUUAAUUAGUUUAAAAAUUACUACUAUUUGCUAAUAACGCGAUAUUAUAUAUACUACUUUUAAUAUAAAUUAAAUUAUAGAUUCUGAAAGUAAAAAAUCAUACAUUUUUACACUUUACCUAAAUUUAAAAUACAUAACUUCACAUUAUUGCAAUUUUAUAUAAUGAAAUUAAAGCUAAUUACUAUUCUCACUAUUUCAUAAUUUUUAUUUAUUUUACUUUUUUUAUACAUAUUAAAAAGAUAAUUUUAUUUAUUAACUUUUUCAUUAUAUUCAUUUUAAAUAUAUUAAUUUUUAUUAAAUAUUAAGAAAUAUUUUAAAAUUUUUUUUUAAAAUAUGAUAAAAUUAAAUAGAAUUAUAAUAGCCAAUUUAUAUAUUAUUAUAAUAUAAAAAAAUAAAGAAUAAUUUUAAAAUAAUAAAAAAAAUCGUAUGAAAAUUAUGAAAUAGAGCAAUAUAAAAAAAAAUUAAAAUUAGCAGUAAAUUGUUUAUCAUAGUAUAAUUAAAAUUUUUUAUAAGAAUUAUAAAAUUAUUAAGAUAACAGUUUGACAAUAAUUUAAAAUUAUGAUAAAAAAAUUUAAUUUUUAACUAUAUAUAUAAAUAAAUAAUUUAUUUUAUAUUUAAUAAAAUUAUAAUUUUAACUACAUUUUUUAUUUAUUGUAAAAAAUAAAUAAUACAAUGAAUUUUAAAAUAUUAUUAUUAAUUUAUCACUACGCCUGAAGUAUUUAAGAUAAUAAUUUUAAAUCCAUUUUUACAGUAGUGCCAUCGUGGAUUGAAGAAACAGACAAAUGAAUCUCAUUUAAAUUUUAAUAUUAUAUUUUAUAUUUUAAAGAAUUUUUAAAUAUUAUUACUGAUAUAAAUAUUAGAGUGAUUUUCAAAAAUUACAAACUAACUCAUUUUUAUUUUAUUUUGCAAAUAGUCUCUCUGAUCAAACAAUCAAAAGACUCGGGGUAAUAUCAUUACCAAACACUGUAAUUAAAAACGCAAUGUAAUUCUUAUUUCAUUAUACUAUUGAUUAGUGUACGAAACACAGCCUAAUUUCAUGUGUUUCUUGACAAACACAGCAAGCAUUGACCCUGUGUCUAGGACAAAGCAAAAGAUAAGACUACGUACUCUCAAUAUUCCUCUAUACGUAUUACUCAUCCUUGGCAACCUUUUCUUCUUCCAACUUCACAACAUUGUAUUGAUAACUUAAGAUUAACACAUAAGUCAUAUAACAAUCAAAAGAUAUACACUAUAAAAAUCAGUCAAAAUAUAGUUAAACCGCGUUUCAUUGAUAAAUAGUAGAUCGCGGAACCUCUGUUAUCCGAGCUGCAGACGAGUCCUCGUAGGAGAAUCAAGCCAUAGUUCACCACGCAAGCCUAUCUAUUAGCACACGACUCAAAUCAUAUUCGAGCAAGCCGAGCGGAUUGGGAGUCGGACCCAAUAAAGAGGGAUCCAACUCACCUGAUUUGAUGGAUCAAAGGGAGACAGACCCAUCUAUAUCCAUGACCCAAUUAGCACAAGUGGCAGAGGAAAUUAAAUAGCCGCUUGACGAUGGAAAGAGUCUGUAUGUACGUCUUUAUAUAAUAGCGACAUGUGACACUAUAAUAAAGUGGCGGUUAUGCGUACUAGAGGAUAAAUAGAAAAAUGAAUAAAGGAAGAAGGUAUGAACCCUGACUAAACUCACUCCCAUGUACCAGAAUUCUACUUUCUUCUUAAUCUCAGAUCGAUCAUUCGUCAGUAAUUUCGAAUUGUUUUUUUUUUUUACUUUUUGUGGUAAUUAUAUAUAAAUUAUUUUACUCACAAAUUCUAAGUGCAACCAACUUGAUGCACACUUCAGUGAUCCUGAAGACAUUUAGGACAAUGAGAUUCAUUGAAAUCUUGGUUUGUUAAGAAUGAUACAUCCGAGUAGAAAGAGAGAGGGAGGUAACUGCUACGUUACUUCUUCUCUUAUUAUAGCUUUAUCAAUUUAAUUCAUACAAAUUCAUCCCAUGUUUGCAGAAACAAGAAGCAAACAAAGGCAUGCAUCAGUUGGUAUAUAUAGUACUUAAACGGUUAUCUGUUGAUGUAAGGAAAUGCAGUUCCCAUGAAGGACGUUCUCUUUACAAAUCGACCUUUCAUUCUAGGCCUUUUUUCCGCGUUCAAUCUCCUCACUUCGUACCUUAUCUUCUUCGAAAAUAGUCUUGUCCUUCGCUUUUCUUUGUACCUUAACACUCUUGCUUCUCUUCCUGCGUUGCCUCCUCCUGCUCCUCCCCCAACGCCGGCCACGUAGGGGUGGCGACCCCGUGCAUUGCAGCACAUACCCUAAACAAAAAAUUUAAAAAUAAGUUGAAAUUGUAUGCAUUCUAGAGAUGAAGAUAAGUGUCCGUAUAUAUAUAUAUAUAUAUAUAUACCAUGCAGUGAGGCCAGCAACCAUCAGGGUUGAGCUCUGGUCUGGGUCCUGUAGUCCAUGGAGAGCCAUGGCUAGCCCAAGCAUUGAUGAUUGCUUCAUAAUUUAGCCUCAAAAAUACAUUCCUUUUCAUUUCCUUCUUGUUUCCAUGACAAUUCAUCUCUUCUACUGUUGUGGGUGACUCGUAAUUGAAAUCCCAAUCAAAUAUUGCUUCCAGUUGAUCUUGUUCAUCCUUGACUUUCACUACUUUGUAUUCAUAACUGAACUUCUCAUCACCUUCAUCUUUAGAAUCCAACACUCUCGAAGCCUUUGUAUCAGGAGAAGAGUCCUCAAGUCCACUUCCAAGUAGAUUCUCAAUGUCUGCAGCAAACUCACCAAGGUCCAUAUCUGAAGGUAAAAACUCAGGUAGAUUAUCCAGGUCGCUUGCAGUUCCUCCGUGUCCAGAAUCAUCAAAAAUCACAUUUCCCUCUUCGUUCCCCAUGGCUGCUAUUUCGGUUCCUUCAUAUGUUAUCAUAUCAUCAACGCAUAGCUCUGCAGCAAAAGGAUCAAAUACAGGAACCCUACAAGGAACCUGAUCUUCAUCUUCAUCAGCAACAAUAUUACUUUCUUCUUCAUUACCAAUCUCAGGAACAAGAAGAAGAGGGUUCAUCAAGAAUUCCUCUUCAUGUUCAAGUUGUUGACGUGCUAAUAAGGACUUAUUGUUCUUAUGCCUCGGGGUUCUUGCUUUUCUAUUAAACCCUUGAAGCCAAGCUGGAGGAGAUACCACAGAUUCAAGCCUGACCCUUUCGUGCCUCCCGGCUAACUGGUUAGCUGAAUGAACUGAUUCUUCACAGCUCCGGCAAAGAAAAGCAUCGUCUGCAGCGCAGAACCACCGAGCUCUCUUGCUGAAACAGCCAUCACAGGGUCUAACAAUCUUGCCUGCAAGGGCAUUUGCUGCUUUUCUUUCAUUGAUCAUUGAAGAGAUUUUGCAACAAGUGACCGUUGAAAGGAGCAAUGUCGUUUUAGAUUGUGCAGUUGGUUGCUCUUACAAGUCUAUGCACUUUAGGUGGUGGGUUUCUUACAGGGUUUGCUUUGCCCUUUUGGGACCCAAGAAUCACUGUUAUCUUAGUGAUGAUUGGCUAAAAAUUUGAACAUAAUCCUAAAUUCUGAUUUCUGAUUGGUUGGAUGGAGAAUGAAGGGAUUCUCCCAGUGGAGCCUUCUGGGAUUAUUAUCAAGGGUCCCAUCGAAGUCUGUGUCUGAGUUGAUGAAAUUUGAGUAAGACCCAUUUGCUCCUUUGUCUCUAUUUUCAAUAAUUUCCGAUACAAAUUUAAAGUUCUUGUGUGCGGUCCCCUUCGGUAGCUUUCAACGAUCCCUGUCGUGGUAGCUAUUUGAUUUGCAUGGCAUGGCAGGACGUGAACUUGGGGCUUCAAUGAGAGGCACUGUUUGCUAUGGAAUUUUUUUCCCAUUGUGAAGUUUCAAAUGCAUUACAACCUAGGAAAUUUUGGAUAAUUCAACUAUAUAAUUUUAAAUUUUCAAGAAAUAUCUAUUUAUUGACAUUUUUAUUUGAAUUUUUAAAAGUCGAAAGCAUUUUUUAAAAUAAAUUAACUAGGCUAAGAAAAUACGUUGAUACUAAUUAAUGUAAAGUCGUAUAAGAAAAAGAAUGUCUUUUUUGGUCCAUGAAUUUUGAGAAGCUGUUCAAUUUUGUUUAAAAUUAAGUUUUUAACCCAAUUACUUAAAUAUUUUGAUUUAGAAUAAAAUUAGUAUUUUUUUCAAAAAUAAUAAAAUAAUAAUUUUUAAUAUUAAAUAUUAAUUUUAGGAUUAAAUAGUAUUUUUAAUCAAAAUAGACGUUUUGCCUUUUAAUGUUCUAAUGAACUUAUUUCAUAAUUUUUCUUUAAAAAGAAAAAAGAAAAAAAAAAACAGUACACAGCUUGGUUUAAUAAGCAAAGUUACAUGGGCCGCCUCUUAAAAUUUCUCUAAGGGCUGAGCCAGCCGGGACUAUAUUUUGAGGCCUAUUUACUUGCUGUUUAUGGAAUACACUUUUCCUCUCUGCUGAUAAAUCCUCUGCGGCCAGUCCCGCCACCAGACUUCUGCACGCGCCACAGCUGAAUGAAAUUCGUGGCAACAUGAGAGAAAGCAAACGGCGUGCGACUCCGGCUAAACACUCCCGUCCCAGUUCUCGAAAAAAGCGUAAGCAUUUCGAUGGCGCAGAGCGACAUGAUCACGAAACUGACAGUAAGAGGCAAAAAUUAGUGUUGAGGACCGAAACCCUAACUCUUAAGCCCCACAACUUGUAUCCGAAUUCGCCAACUUCGAAUAGGUUUCGACCAAUUCACGCUUCGUCCUCUCUAAAGCGUAAUAGGAAGCAUUACCAUAGGAGAAGUUCGAGUGUUGGUGAGUGUAAUCGUAGAUGGGUCUUCUCUGGCGACGAUUUCUCUGCUUACAGAGGUACAAGUAGUUAGCUUCGUACAAUUUUUUUUUCUUAAUCUGAGUGUGCUUUUAGUAUGAGUUGGAAUAUUUGAUACAUUUGCUGGAAGUUUCGUGUGCGGAUUCUUUCACUGGUCUGAGUCAUCAGUUUUGUCAUGAGAAAGUAUUUAGAAAAUUUUUGUAAGCUAUAAUUUGUGAACAUUAUAAUGGAAAUAUGGAAAUAUUUCAUUGCUUUAUUUUUUUUAAUUUAUUAUGUAAUUUGUUUGAAGCUGAAAUAUGAGACCGUUUACAUUGAUCGUUGUUCAAUUUCUAAGAAUGUAUCCUUCACUGUAUUUUCAUCAAUAUCAUCUACCAUCUAAAAAAGGUUCAAUGUAUACUAUCUAAUUCUCUUAAAACUCAACAAUCCUGUUUUAUCUGCAUGCCUAUGAGUUUUACCAUCAAACCAACCAAUUCCUACUUGAGACUUUAAACUAGGUCAUGAUAUUUCUGUACUUUUGCCGUACCUGAAUUUGUUUCUGUCACUCUGCAGAUAGGGUCGUUGUUGUGUCAUACAAUGUACUUGGUGUUGAAAAUGCAUUAAAGCACCAAUAUUUGUAUUCUAAAAUCCCACCUGAGUUCUUAGAGUGGGAUAGGCGGAAAGAGCUCAUACGUGAGGAGAUCAAUCAUUAUAAUGCAGGCAUCCUAUGUUUCCAGGCAGGUUAUUGGCUUUAGUUUUGGAUUGCAGAUUAUCUCCCUAUAUAGAUGCAUUUAAAGAAUGGAUAUGCUAUGUGUUUAUAUCUGAAGUCAAAGGUUUCUUAGUGUUUGUGGGAAUAUCAGUUUGUUUUUAGCACCUUUGUAACUUUUCUUUGUUGUUAGCACCUUUGUAACUUUUCAUUGAGAAAGGCAUUCACUGCCUCUAAUUUUUGGUACAUCAGGGAGCAUUAGAUAUGUGCAUGUAAUUUAGUAAACCAAAGUGUAUAACAUCUGUAUACACUCUUUUUGCGUUUGGUUAUUUUAUUUUGUUUUUGGUGCAUAUAAUAUUGUCAUCCUGAAGGUCAUAUGACUUUUAAUUUAAAUAGUUUAUACUUUGAAGUGUGGCUGGAAAUUUUUUCACAGAGUGAACAUGCCACACUCAUCAACUGAGGAUGAUGAUUAAGAAAAAUGAAAAGAUUGAAGGAAAAAGAGACAUCUAGAUGUUCUAAAGUUCUCUGACAUAAAUUCCAUUUCUUUUAGAGUUAUAUUUUUAAUUAACUGUUUUCUUUCUCAUUCUUUUGAAAAUUGAAAUGUUCAAUCAUCUUGCUUUCCCAAGUAUAUUUUCUCAUCUCAAUGAGGUAUUCCUGCUUGAAAUCCUAGUCCUUUCUGCCAAAACCAAAAGUUCAGAUUGUAAGUUGUACCUGGUGUUUCUCUGUUCUUGUGGAUUUCUUUUAUUGAAUCAGAAAUAUCGGAUUCCCAUCUAGAGUUGUGUUCUCAUAAUCCACUUUUCUGGCUUUAGGAGGUUGAUCGUUUCAAUGAUUUAGAUUAUUUUCUUCAAGAGGAUGGCUAUAGAGGAGUUUACAAGGUAUGCUGAAAUGUUGUACAUAUGUAGCUUCUCCAUAUCAGCAAUUAAUUUUAAUUAACCUGGUUUUAAUUAUUACUGUUCGUUUCAGGCCCGCACGGGUGAAGCAUAUGAUGGCUGCGCUAUGUUUUGGAAAGACACAUUGUAAGGUCUUUGAAUUCAAUGAAUUCAAAUGCUAUUUCCUGUCACUGUGCAUUUGCUUGAUAGCCUUUUUUUUUGCUGUCGCUAAAUUUCUCUUGAAUAAUUGUUUUGUCCUUGCUUGUUGGUUUGAUGUCCAUUUUCAAGGUUUAAUACAGAAGAUGAAAAUUAUUGCACUUCUCCUGUUGGACUCAAUGUCCAAAGGCAAUUUGAUGGAUCUGAUGCAUGGUUUGAUUGAGCAUUUUUUUUUCAAUUCUCAUAGAUGCAAGUUACCAUUUCCUGAAUUUGGGUUUCUUCAUCAUGUUUUUCUCUAGUGAUAAAUGUAAAUGCUGAUUACUUUUCUAUUUUAAUUUUCUUCUAUUCAUGUCUAAAUUUUAGCUAGCCAUAUUUUUAAUACAGAUUUACCCUUUUGCAUGAAGAAAAUAUAGAGUUCCAGAGUUUUGGCCUCCGUAACAAUGUUGCUCAACUUUGUGUUUUAGAGGUAUGCAGAUUGUUGAAUUUUCUUUUUCCAUUUGACUUUCUUCCCUUUUUUUUUCUGGUUUCCUUUUUGGCUAUUUUACCUUUUUUGAUUGUUUUAAGUUCUUAAAAAGAUGUGCAAGAAGGUUUCUAUAACUUGGAUGAAGCACCUCUUUUUCUUGUAGCCAAUUUCAUUGUUAGGCAUUCAAUAAAAAACAUAACUCAAGACUACAACUUGUUAACUUACGAAUUGGAUUCCCAUGCCAAGUAGUUACAAAAGUUAGGCAACUGUCAGGAAAUUCAUUCAAGAGUCUAUUUUGUUGCUUAUUUAUUUCAGAGGUUUAUUCCUUGUAAGGUAUUUUCAUCUCCAUGUAUCCUUUUGAUGGCUCUCCUGAGUAACAACAAAGAAUAUGAUAAAUUUUCUUUUCAGAAAUUUUCUUUUUCAGUUCAUUAGAAUAAGUAACUUAAUCUCCUCAUCUCUCCUUCAUUUCAAUUAAAACAAAAUAAAAUAUUUCCUCAUCUCAAAUUGUUAUUUAACCUAAACUGUAAUAUAUGAACUUCAUGUAUGUAAAACAAUUUUCUAUAUCUACUUUUCAGUUGCUGAAUAUUUUUUUUUUGCGGUCAAAUAAGCUACUGAAUAUGAGAAAUAUAUUUAGUAACAGCAAUAUAAUUCUAAUAUUAGAAGUUAAACAUUUUCUCCCUCUGGAGUCUGUUCAUAUAAUUGUUAGAUGGAUAUGUGUUUUAUUUUAUAUAUUAUAAUAAUAAUAUUAUUUGUAUUAAAAGCACAUAUAAGAAAAUUUUAAACCACAGAUACCUAUAAUGAGUAUAAGAAAUGCAAUGUGCAUUUCAAAAUUCUAGUCUAUUCGUUAAUUGCUCCCAAGCAGUUGAGAUUUUUUCAAGGUCACAUGGUUUAUAAUAAUACUACAGAUACAUUGAACCCUUACCUCAAAGUUUUCCAUAAGAAUUGUAGUUCAAAAAAUUUGGGAAGUACAAAAGAAUGAAAUGCACAUAGAGAAUUCAACAGAUGUUGCUUGACUUUUGUAAUUUAAUGUUUCUCAUUUCACAUGAUUGUGUUUAUUGCAUCCUUUUUAUGGUUUUUCUGCAUCCAUUGUUUAAUAUGUUCUCUCUUAUGUUACAUUUAUUAUUUAUGUGUUAUAUUUAGAGAAAUUUACUAUUUAGUCUCUAUAUUAUAGGGAAUCUCACUAGUUGGUCCCUUUAUUUUGAAAAAUGAAUUAAAACAUUUCUGACAUUUUAAAAGGUACACUAAUUAGUCCCUUUGUUAAUUUUAGUCAUUAAAUAUUACAAAAAAGUCUAAAAUGUCCCUGAUAUGGAGUGACUAAUUAGUAGACUUUUUAAAAAUUUGAGGGACCAACUAAUAAGUUUUUCAAAACCAUAAAGACUAAAUAGUAAAAUACUCGACGGUAGUAGAGUUCCAUAAUUUCCAUUAGCAAUUAAACUUCUAAUGUUUGCCACAUUUUUUUUUUUUUUUUUUUUUUACCUUGAUGUAAGCAGAUGAAUGAAAAUCAAAUGUUGUCUGCCCUGUGUGAGCAAUCAUCAAAGUAAGUUCAAAUGUCUAUCAGUAUAUACUAUUCUGUUAUCUUGCUCUUGAGUGUCAUGGAUGUCAACAUCUGAUACAGAAUCAGAAGAAUAAUGAUUAGGACAAAGUAAAGAUAAAAAUGAAGCAUUAACAUUGUUAAUUUCAGGAGUUAACUUCUCUUAAAAUAACAGUCCCUUCAUACUUUUAAAAUUGUUUUGUUCUCGGGGGACAGUGCUAAUUAUCUUUUGUUUUUGUUCUUUAAAUCAUGUAAAUGAUUUUGCUGAUGACAAUAUUAAAUCAUAAAUCAUAUGGACAGGGCAACAGCUACCCAAAGUCGAAGAUUAGUGGUUGGCAAUGUGCAUGUUCUUUUUAACCCGAACCGUGGAGAUAUCAAGCUUGGUCAGGUAUUCACUUUUUUGCUGCUUCACUUUUUCUAAAGCAGGCCACAUUCUCUUUUGGAUCACUAAAAUCUGUAGCAAGCAUUCUUUUUUGUGUAUAUGCUACACACGCAUGCAGGUUUGUGCCUUUUCUCGUUUUACGUUUUUAUGGAUUAAUUUGGGGACAAUUUUAUGUAAAGGAGGCUCUUAGUGACUUAAAUGAUGCUAAAAUUUCUUUCCUAUCAAUAAUAAUGUUUUUAAUUGUUGACCAACAUAAAAGGUUCCUAAUUAGGAGGAUUGAGAUCUUUGGGAUCUUAACUAAGUUUGAUUGUAGUGAUUUUAUUCUUAUCGUAAAUAUUUCUAAUUUAGGUUGAUUGUGUGUAUAAAUAUUGAAAUAGAAUAAAAAAAUCUUUGUGGUGUCAGAGCGAUGUUGAGCCCCUCAUAAAUAUGUCACGCUCCAGUAUAGUUCUGGGCACGAGGGAUGUGUUGGAUCCCACGUCGGUUUGAGAUAAGGGUAAUGAACCUCUUAUAAGGGUCUUAGGCACUCAUUCCCUUGAAUUAGCUUUUGGGGUGAGUUAAGUCUGACUCAAAUUUAAUAUGGUAUCAAAAUCUUGCCACUUUAAUUGGUAUAGGUUUCAAAUCUAAUAUAAAAAGUUAGGAUUAAUUAAUAAGUCAAGUUUCUAGGCGACUAUAUGAAGGGAGUUGUUUCACACCACCUGUUUCGAAGGAAAGCCCAUCACAUUUCUAGCGGAUCCCUGGCAACGUGACCCCGCUCCAAGCAUGCACGUGUCCUCAUGCGCUGCCACAGCUUUUGUGUCUCCUUCCACGCGCCAGCGCGUGAGCCUUCCUCCGACUUCCUUUUCCAUCAGCGCUCCUUUCCGGCAUGUCACGACUAUGAUUGGUCCUGUUCCGUGACCGUAUUCUCCUUUGGGUUUUUCAAGGUGUUUUAACAGUAACUUAAUCGUUUUUGCCUCUGUGUUGCUAGCCCUUUUUCCUUUAAAAUGUAAGGCACUAACAGAGGUGAUGUACGUGUUUUUGAUACUGCUUCAUGGAUUAUUGAUUAUGAUACAAAUAGACACAUGAUGGGUUCCUCUAACAACUUCCUUAAUUACUUUCCAUUUCUACAAAAGGACAUAGUCAGAAUAGCCGAUAGCUCUUUUAUUCUCAUCUCUGGAACCAGAUCGAUUGUUUGUUCUUCCAAUAUUAAGCUAUCCUCUGUUCUCCAUGUUCUUCAUUUUCCUGUUAAUCUUUUAUCUGUCAGUGUUUUUACCAAAUCACUUAACUGUAAAAUUGAGUUUUUUUUUUCUAAUCAUUGUGUUAUUCUGGACCUUUAAACUAGGAAGAGGAUUGAAUAUGGUAGACUGUCGUUUUUGAAACCAGAUCGAUUAUUUGUUCUUCCAAUAUUAAGCUAUCCUCUAUUCUCCAUGUUAUUCAUUUUCCUGUUAAUCUUUUAUCUGUCAGUGUUUUUUAUCAAAUCACUUAACUAUAAAAUUGAGUUUUUUUUUUUUUUUUUAAUUAUUGUGUUAUUCAGGACUUUAAACUAGGAAGAGGAUUGAAUAUGGUAGAUUGCAUAAUAGCUUAUAUAUAUCAGGAGAGAAUCUGGGUUUGAAUUCACUUCAGGCUCUUUUUGGAAAAAAUCAGGAUGUUAACUAGGAAAUCAUACAGUGGCAUCGAUGGUUAGGACACCCAUCCUUCUUUGUUUUAGAGAAAUUUUAUUUUUUAAGGCUCAAUAUGGUUCUUUAGUUUGUGAUACUUGUGAGUAUGAUAAGCAUACAAGAAUCUCUUCUUUCUAGUAACAAUAGGAGUACGAUCCCUUUUGUGAUUAUCUAUUUUGACGUAUCCAUUCUGACGUUUGGAGACUUACUCAAAUGGUCUUACUAUCUGGUAAUCGUUGGUUUGUUACUUUUAUUGAUUGUUGCACUCGUACGACUUGGGUUUAUUUGAUAAAAGCAAAGAAUGAUGUGUUUUCUUGCUUUCAAUCUUUUCACAAAAUGGUUUGUACUUAAUUUGAGACUAAGAUAAAAGUUUUAAGAACUGAUAAUGGCACAAAGUACAUGGAUGGACGUUUUUUUGCUUAUCUGAUUACACUAGUGUUCAAAAUGGUGUUACUAAAGUAAAAAAUAGGCACCUGUUAGUAGUAGUUUGAUUUCUCCUUUUUUACUGUGGAGCUUUCAAAAACCUAUUAAAAAAAUGCAGUUUUAGCUGUAGUUUAUCUCAUUAAUAGAAUGUCUAUCAAAGCUCUUACCUUUAAAAGCCCUUUAGAGGUACUAUAAUGGAAACAUGCUUAUAUUGUUCCACCAAAGAUAUUUGGAUGCAUGUGUUUUAUUCAUACUAGGAUAGGUGGAAAGCUCGAUCCGAGAGCUCUUCAAUGUGUGUUUAUUGGGUACUUUCCUAUACAGAAGGGUUACAAGUGUUACCGCCUUGCAUCUCGAAAAUACCUUGUAGUAUGGAUGUUAUAUUUAGAGAGACUGAACCUUAUUUCAGUACUACUCCACCUCUGGGAGAAUAAUGAGAGAGAAGAGGUAAUUCUAGAGGAGACUACUAUAAGGGGAGACUAAUGGUGAUCAGGAAGAGAUAAUAAUUGGGCAUUUGGAUAAACCAUAUUUAAAGAGAUACUCAAGAAAAGACAAUAGAAGCAGAAACAACCAUUGUGCAGUCUACUCAGUGUCGUGAAUCUUCUUCUUUUCAUCUGGUGAGUCAUCUCUAAACUUUGAGCUCAUUGAUGAUUUAGAGGUUGAUAGGCCAAACUAGUUGCCAAGGGAUACACUCAAACCUAUGGAGUGAAUGACUAGGAGAUAUUUGCUCCUGUUGCCAAAAUGAACUCAAUCAGAGUAUUGCUAUUUUGCGCUGCCAAUCUUGACUGGGACCUACAACAAUUUGAUGCGAAAAAUGCAAUGGAGACUUGGAGGAAGAAGUAUAUAUGAAAACUCCUCAUGGAUUUGCUGAUGAAAAAAUACAAAGAUGUGCAGGUUAAAGCAGACUUUGUAUGAGUUGAAGCAGUCACCCAAAGCUUGGUUUGAUCAAUUCAGCACGAGUUAUGAUUUCCUUUAGUUAUUAAUAGAGCAAUACUGACCAUACUUUAUUUAUCAGAUAUCACAAAGGUAAAAUCACUCUUCUCAUAGUUUAUGUUGAUGAUGACAUAGUAAUGAUAGGGGAUGUCACUGAAGAGAUGACUUGGCUGAAGAAGCUUUUGAUUCAUAAGUUUGAAAUUAAUGAUUUAGGAAAAUUUCAAUAUUUCCUGAAAAUCGAGGUUGUCAGAUCAAAGAAGUGAAUCUUUAUUUUUCAGAGAAAAUACAUUCUGUAUAUUUUAGAAUAAACUGGUAUGUUACCUACAAACCAACAGAAACUCCUAUUGAGAGCAAUCACAAACUACAAGCAGGGAUUGGUGAAUCAGUGGAUAUUGGCAGAUAUUAGAGGUUGAUAGGUAGAUUGAUUUAUUUUUCGCAUACUCGACCAGACAUAGCAUAUGCAGUCAGCUUAGUCAGUCAGUUUAUACAUGAUCCCCGUAAAUCUCAUAUGCAAGCUGUUUUUUGCAUUUUGCGUUACUUGAAGUAUGCUCCUUAAAAAGGUCUCGUAUUCUCUAAACACUGUCAUCUCCUCAUACACGCAUUCACAGGUACACAUUGGGCUAGAUCCCUUGAUGAUAGGAGAUCGACUAGUGAUUGCACACUUGUAGGAGGAAAACUUGUCACUUGGAGAAGCAAAAAUCAAAGUGUUGUUGUUUGAUCAAGUGCUGAGGUGAAGUAUAGAGCAAUGACACUACAAGGUGUUUGUGAACUCCUAUGGAUGCAGAGAUUGUUGGAGGAAUUGAAACUGAUGGAGAGGGACAAACUCCUCUUGUACUGUGACAACAAAGCUGCUAUCGCUCACAAUCCAGUUCAACAUGACCGAACAAAGCGUAUAGAGAUUGACCGACACUUUUAUUAAAGAGAAAUUAAUAAAUAGUGUCUUGAAAUUAGAUUAUGCAACUUCCGAUGAACAGCUAGAUGAUGUGUUUAUCAAAGGGCUCAGCAUUAAGAUCUAUCAUACCUUAGUUUGCAAGUUGGACACGUGUGAUAUCUAUGCGGGGAGUAUUAUCAACAUAAAAAGUUCCUAAUCAGGAGGAUUGAGAUCUUUGGGAUCCUAAUUAGGCUUGAUUAUAGGUUUUUAUUCUUAUUGUAAAUAUUUCUAAUUUAGGUUAAUUCUUUAUAUAUAAAUACUCAAAUUUUGAAAAUAUCAUUUUAAUUGGAAUAAAAUCAAAAAAUUUUCCCAAAAAUCUUCACUAAUAUCACCAAUGCAUUAAUGUUCUAAUGUAGGUUCGGCUAUUUCUUGAGAGAGCUUACAAGUUAUCACAAGAAUGGGGCAGCAUUCCUGUUAUAAUUGGUGGAGAUUUAAAUAGCCUUCCUCAGGUGAAGUCUUAUAAUGCAAUUAUUAAGUGAAUAGCUGUAGAUUAUUUGCGUUCUCUGCUAUAAAUCUCAAGCAAUCUCUUAACUUUUGUUUCCCCCUCUCUUCUCAUGGUUAGAGUGCCAUAUACCAGUUUUUGGCUUCGUCUGAGGUGAGCUUUUCUUAUUGUUUAACAUCAAAAUUGUAGAUUUUUUACUUUUCCUCAGCAUUUGUUAUGAUUUGCACUUAUCAAGAUUAUAGAAUUUUUUCCCCUUUCUUCAGCGUUCACUUUGAUUUGCACUAACCUAAGACCAUUCAUUUUUCCCCUUUUUUGUUGGUUGGACUUUUGGUAGCUGGACAUCCUAGUUCAUGACCGCAGAAACAUUUCUGGACAGCUUGAAUACCGACCACAGCACAAAUAUUUCAGAUCCCAGGAUGAGAAUGUGAAGAGGUUACACAUGCAUACAAUUUUUUAAAAGUAUUUUUGAAGCUUGUUUAUUGCGAAAAUAUCAAUAAAGUUGUAAUUAUUUUCGGAUAUUGAUUAUUAGAUUUUUAAAUUGUUGAUGUCUUAGGUAGAGAUAAAGAUGAAACUGUCUCUCAUAGGCUUGUGAUAAAGGUGAAACUGUCUCUCAUAGGCUUGUGAUAAAGGUGAAACUGUCUAUGGAUAAGCAUUAGGGUUCAAUUUCAACAAUGUUCUCUCCCCAUCUAUCUAUCACCAAGACUGGCAUGUUUUUAACCUAAAGAGGAGAGGGAGUGAGAGAGAUAUAGAAAGGGGGAAUGAUCCUUUGUUGAAGGCUUAAAAAUGAGACUAUCUUUAAGGCCCCUACACCUGAUAAAUUAUGGUGUUUCUGGUACCCCUUAAAUUACCAUCUGCAGUAUCAGAUUGCAGAAGGUUGUGUGACUCAAUUUAACCACGGUUUUUUUGGAUGCAGAAAUAGCAUGUCCAACUUAAGGCCAUUAAUGCAUGUAUGGAGCGAUGAAGAAUUAAUUCUUGCUACUGGCAGCAAAGAAGUCACUCAUCUCCGUCACCAAUUAAAGCUCUGUAGUGCAUAUCUUGGGAUUCCAGUAAGUUUAUGAUGUAUCUAUGGAUUUAACGUUUUUUGAGAUCUAAUAUUCUUGGUAUGCUUAGAUUUGCAACUGCUUUAGAUAUAUAUAUAUAUAUAUAUAUGUUAUACGCACCUUAAACUUAUUAUUACUAACUAGAUUCGAUAUGGAUGCCCUUGUCUAACAAGGGUUGUCAAACAUAUGACUACGAGAGCGUUUGGUUUACCCUUUUGAUCCAGCUUAUAACUGAUUAGCUCCCAAAUAGCUAAAUUGUAAUUGGUAAAUCUUAAAAAUGGGUAGCUGAUAACUGAUAGGUAGCUUAUUAAUUACUUUUUCAAUCAGUUUUAAUUUGAGUUUUUUCUCAUACGCUAAUAGCUAAUGAAACUUUAUAUUUUAUUUAGAUCAGAUUACCCUUUUUAGUAUAUAUUAAUUAUCAAUUUUUCAUAUUAACAUAAAUUUCUAUAUGUAUUAAUAAAGUAUUUAUAAUUAUAAAAUAAAUAUCAUGCAUAAAAAAUAAAAUUUAUUUUAUUAAUAAUCAUAUUUUUAAAUCUUUUAAAGACUAUAUGAUAAAUUAUUAAUUUAAUGUGUAUUUUAAUAAUAAAUAAAUCAUAUAUAAGCAGUAACAACGAAACCUUAUUUAUCAAAUGCUUUGAAUGUUUUAGCUGCAAUUAGCAAACAAUUAUCAGUCACCAACGAGUUAUCGGCUAUCAACUAUAUCUAACAAUUAAACUAAACAAGCCCUAUACCUUGUAGUCCUUUUUAUGAUACUGAAAAAUAGGUUACAAUUUAGGCAUGACCUGCUGUCUAUAUUCGUUUGGAUCAAUUUAAGAAUUUAUUCUUUUUUUGUAGUUAAAAACUAGUGAUUUUGAUUUUGUCUCUCUUGUUUAAUUUAACACGGUCAACUUCUUCAGGGAAGUCAUAGAUCAAGAGACAAUUAUGGAGAACCAUUAGCGACAUCAUACCACUCCAAGUUUAUGGGAACUGUGGAUUACAUUUGGUAGUAUGCUUACACAUAUUAACAUGCAAAAUGCAUUUGGUGGCAAAAUUUUUUUAGUGCUGAUUUCAUUAAUUGACGCAGGCACACAGAGGAACUCAUUCCUGUCAGAGUUCUUGAAACCUUACCCGUUGAUAUUUUGAGAAGAUGUGCAGGGCUUCCUAAUGAGGUGCCAUAGAUUUUCAUAAAUGAAUUCUGUUGAUAUUUUUCUUUUGAAUUUCUGAUGUUUUAUUGGUGCUUUCAACAAAUCUGAAUGACCUAACAACCAGAUAUGUUUUUUCUGUUCUAAGCACAAAAAAUUGCAGCCUGUGUAAUUGAUUCCUUGUCAGAAUUUGGCCAUGAUUAAUGCUAUUCUUCUUAUUGUCUUUUCUGAUUUUGUUAUUAACAAAUUUAUGUUCUUCAUCUGAUCUGACAUACAUAAUUUUUAUCCCAAAAUACAUUUUUAUUACAUGGAUAAUAACUCAUUAUUAUAGAAUUAUCUUGCUAAAUUUUAGAUUCUGUGCAUCCUUAAACAAUUUCUGUCAUUUUGCAGAAAUGGGGAAGUGAUCAUCUUGCUCUUGUAUGUGAACUAGCCUUUGCAGACAAAGAGAACAGAACCUGAGUCUUCAACCAAAUUCAAGUCCUUCGCAGGAAUGCAGACAUCAUAAACUGUUCAGCUUCUUUUUUUUAAAUUUUUGGGCAUCCAAAGUUUAUUAAUUUAAUUAUAUUUUAGAUAAUUAGCUGCUACCUUUUGUGAUAGGCUCUGCAACUCUCUAAUAAGAACCCACAGAAUUAAUGUUUAAAGCGUGCUGGAUUGUCAAAUACACUGAAUCCAAGAAUCCUUAAUAAACCAUGAACAAAAUCUCAUUCCACCCUCAUAUAAAUGAGAAGAGAACCCAUCUCCCUAACUUCUUUGGUUACUGAGAACUUCAUCACAUAUAUACUGCAAAGUGAGUUUUUCAAAAGAAAUCAAAUAAUGGACAAAAGAAUAAAUAAAUGCCGGUGAAUAUUACUCAAGCAUGGCAUCUGGGUUGAAGUUCAAAGAUUUUACAAAUAUAAGCUCUCCUUUAUGUCUCCUUCGUUUAACGAAAUUUGCUCAAAAUCAAAAAUAAAAGGAGACAGACAAGUGGGUUCCUUGAUCUCAUGAAGACUUGAUAAAUAUGGAUGGUUCAAUGCUUCCUCAACUUCACGUAACAUAAGAAAAUGUGAUGUAGGCAGAAGAAGAUGAAGAGGAUAAAUAGAAUAAGCGUUUUGAUGGGUGUUUAUGCAAUUUAAAUUAUUUAUCUUUUAUUUUUAACAAAUUUUAAGAUAUCUAAGUGUUUAGUUUUAAAAAUAAAGGAAUUUAUUCAUUAAUCAUGUCAAAAUUUAAAGACUAAAAUAUAAUUUAUUAUAUUAUUUAUAUUAAAUUAAUAAGUCUCACAUUUAAAUUUUAAAAUAAUAUCAAAUAUCAAUAAUAUAAUAUAAUAUUUUUACUUAAAAUAUAUGAAAAAUACUGAAUAAUUAAAUAUAAUAUAGUUUUUUCAAAAGAAGAUAAAAGUAAAAAAGUUAGUGAUAGAGUUUUAAAAAAUUUUAUUGCAAUAUUUUUAUAAAAAAUAAAUUCUAACUAAACCAACAUUAAUUAUUUUGUAAAUUUAUUUAAUUUUCUUUAUUUUUUAUAAUAAAAUUACAUAAUUUUAUCUAAAACUACAUAAUAUCUAAAAUUAUAUAGUUUAACUGAAUAUUUUUUUAAAAUAGUUACAAUUAUUUUAACUUAAUUUAUUUUUAAUUUUAUUAAAUUAUAUUUUAUUACUAUAUAUAUAAUUUAGUUAACAAUUAUACAUAUGUAAUUCAUGNNNNNNNNNNNNNNNNNNNNNNNNNNNNNNNNNNNNNNNNNNNNNNNNNNNNNNNNNNNNNNNNNNNNNNNNNNNNNNNNNNNNNNNNNNNNNNNNNNNNNNNNNNNNNNNNNNNNNNNNNNNNNNNNNNNNNNNNNNNNNNNNNNNNNNNNNNNNNNNNNNNNNNNNNNNNNNNNNNNNNNNNNNNNNNNNNNNNNNNNNNNNNNNNNNNNNNNNNNNNNNNNNNNNNNNNNNNNNNNNNNNNNNNNNNNNNNNNNNNNNNNNNNNNNNNNNNNNNNNNNNNNNNNNNNNNNNNNNNNNNNNNNNNNNNNNNNNNNNNNNNNNNNNNNNNNNNNNNNNNNNNNNNNNNNNNNNNNNNNNNNNNNNNNNNNNNNNNNNNNNNNNNNNNNNNNNNNNNNNNNNNNNNNNNNNNNNNNNNNNNNNNNNNNNNNNNNNNNNNNNNNNNNNNNNNNNNNNNNNNNNNNNNNNNNNNNNNNNNNNNNNNNNNNNNNNAAUAAUAAUAAUAAAUAUUUAAUAAUUAAAUAAUAUUACAAUUAUAUAUAAAUAAUUUUAGUACAAUUAUAUGAUAUAUAAAAUAUAUUAUUAAAAUUAUAAUAUUAUUAUAAAUUAUUUAAAAAUAUAUAUAAAUUAAUUUUUUGAUACGAUUUUAAUUUAAUAUCAAUCUAAUAUAAAAAAAUUAAAAUUAAAAUUAAAUAUUUAAAUAAAUUUAAUUUAUACAAUUCGAUCUAAUAUCAUUAAUUUUUUAAAAUUUUAAUUCGAUUCGAUAUGGAUUUUUAUUCCGAUCGAGACCUCAGCAACCGUGAACAGAUUUAUCUGCCAAACCAAAAGCAUUGUCAAUAUAUAUAUAUAAAGUCCACUGUUUUGAUAUAUUUACUUCUUACAAAGCUUCUCUUUUUGUUUCCUAGAAAAGUAAAAUUUGUCCUUUUUCUUAACGAAAAGAAAUUAACGCAACUCAGCCAAAAAUUAAAUUUUGUGGUUUUUUUAAUUGAAAAUUAGAGAUUAAAGAUAUAAAAUUUAAAAUUUUAAAAAAUAAGUUAAAUGAUUUUCUUAACUCAGCUGCUUAACAAUGAUUUAAUAGCUAAUCUCUUUAAAUAAAGAUUUGUUUUCCAUUCUACACAUGGAAAAUUCAGAAAUUAAAAGGAUUUAGACAAUUCUACACAAAGACCAAAUCCCUUUUGGUUGAAGAAAAGUGGGGCAAAAGGAAAUCAUGAGAAAAGACACCACAAUCCCUCAUAAGUCAAAUUAGGUGUUCAACAUUUUCUAACUACUGCUAAAAGAAGAGGCGUUGGGACUAGGCGACUAGUAUUCAAGUUGAAUAGAAAAAUUGAUUGAAUUGAAUUAAUUUAAAUUUUUAGUUUAAUUUUUUAUUUAUUUUAAUUUGAUUUAAUUUUUAAUUUUAAAAAUUUUAAUUAUUUUAAUUCAAUUUAAUUUUAAUUAAAAAAAAUUAAAUUAAUAUUUUAUUUUUAAUAAUAUAGAUAGAUUAAAUUAUAUUAAAGUUAAAAUAUUUUAAUUAAAUUUUAAAAUAUUAAAAAUAAAAUAUUAAAAAUUAUUAAAAAUUUAAACUGAUGAAAUUAAAUUAAAUCAGAUUAAUUUAAUUUAAUUUAAUUUAAUUUAAUUUAAUUUUUAAUUAAAAUUAAUUUAAUUUAAUUUUUAUAAAUAUUAAAAUUUUAAUUUUUAAUUUAUUUAAUUCGAUUCUAAAUUAAAUUAAUUAAACGUUGAACGACUUAUGGGGGCAAAAUUCAGUUCGGCCGAAAACUUUUACACGCUAGGAAAUAAGACUUUCUCUUUGUUGGAGAAAUGCUAAAUUAUCUCUUUUAAUUUAUUAAUUUUUUUCUUUUUUGUUAUUGGUGUUGAAACCCAUUUUAGGAUGAAGUUGCUGUUAGUGAUAAGUGAUGUUAAUGUCCAGAAGCAAAGGAUGACUCCUAAAUUAGUGGCAGAGAGGAUUGCUAUCUUGAAUUCAGACAUCUUGAUAUUUUGACCUGACUUGACCCUUCUUCGCACGGCGGCUUUUAUAAUUCAAAAUUAAAUUGAAUUAAUAAAUUAAAAAUUAAAAUUUUAAUAUUUAUAAAAAUUAAAUCGAAUCGGUUUUAAUUAGAAAUUAAAUUCAACUGAACCAAUUUGAUUCGAUUUGAUUCAAUUCAAUUUAAUCAAUUUAAAUUUUUAAUAUUUUUUUAUUUUUUACUCUUUAUUUUUAAUAUUUUAAAAUUUAAUUAAAAUAUUUUAAUUUUAAUAUAAUCUAAUCUCUUUACAUUAUUAAAAAUAAUAUAUAAUUAUCACUAAAUCAAUUCGGUUCGUUUUUUUUAUUUUUUUAUUAAAAUCAAAUUAAAUUAAAAUUUUUAAAAUUAAAAAUUAAACCGAAUCGAAAUAAAUAAAAAAUAAAGUUAAAAUUUUAAAUUAUAUUUAAUUCGAUUGAUUUUUUCGAUUUAAAUCAAAUAUGCUCGGCCUCUAGUUUUACUAUAUUUUAGCUAUACUCAUCUUAGCUAUACUCAUCUUAAAGUAAUAAAAUAUGUCUUUAAAUAUUAACAUAUAAUAAAAAGAGAAAUAUAUAGAUUAAUAUUAUAAUUAUUCAAUUAAAAAGAAAUUAUUGAGAGUUAGGUAACUUAAUAUUAUUUAAUUUUUAAAAUUUAAAAAAUAAAAAAUAUAUAAAUAUAUAUUAAAAAAUUUAGUGAAAAUUCAAGAUAAUAUUCCUUAUAUUAUGAUUAAAAGAGUAUUUAGAACUGUUUCCAUCAAAGAAUAUUUAUAGUGUUGCUUAAUAUUUACUAUUUUAUAUCAAGAAUAUAUUUAUUAUAAAUAUACUAAAUUUAUUCCAUUGAAUUAACUUGUUUUUCAUUAUAAAUUUAAAAUUAAAUUAUAAAUAACUGUAUUUCAUGAUCAUUAUAUUAUAAUUUUAAAUAGUAUUAUUUUUAAGAAAAUUUAUAAUUAAAAUUAAUAUAAAUAUUUGAACAAAUUAUAAAUUAUCUAAACAAUUAAUUUUUUUCUCUAAUAACCCUUUUUUUUUCUUAAUUUAGAAAUCAAAAUUCUAAAUGUCAUCUCACAAGUUUCGCCGAAUAGAGGUGAGCAGUAUUCGGUUCAAAUCGAAAAAAUUGAUCGAAUCGAAUUGAUUUAAAAUUUUGAUUCAGUUUUUUAUAUAUUUCGGUUCGGUUCGGUUUUUAAUUUCAGAAAUUUCAGUUAUUUUGGUUCGGUUCGGUUUUAAUCAGAAAAAAACUAAAAUAACCGAACCGAUUAGUGAUAAUAAUAUAUUUUUUCAAUAAUAUAGAGAAAUUAAAUCAUAUUAAGAUUAAAAUAUUUUAAUUAAAUUUUAAAAUAUUAAAAAUAAAGUGUAAAAAAUAAAAAAAUUAUUAAAAAUCGAAACCGAUCAAACCGAACCGAAUCGAACCGAAUCAUACCGGUUCGAUUCGAUUCGGUUUCUGACCAAAAUCGGUUUGGUUUAGUUUUUAUAAACACUAAAAUUUCGAUUUUCGAUUUAUUCGGUUCGACCCCUAACUCCGAAUACAUUGGAGGCCAAGGCAUCUCUAGCCCAGUCCCUCCCUUCCUCCCCUACAGCCGAGGUGUCAGUUACCCUAGAGUUAUUCUUUUUGGAGACUUCUCAUUGGCAUAUAGAAACUGGAGGUGUGAUGCAGAAAGAAAGUGAAAAAGAAGAGAGCUAAUUUGAUAAAAUGAAAUGUGAGAAAGCCACAUUUAACCAAACAUAUUGAAAAGUGUGUGGUUUGCUUGAAAAACAAGUGAGCUCAUCAUCAGCCGCCAACUCAAUUAUUCAAUUCUUCUGCUAAUUUCUUUUAUAUUAUCAUCAACCCUUUUGCUUCGAAUCUCUCCUCUAUAUAAUACACAAUCUCACUUUUAAAAUCACUAUCCACUAUUGCCUAACUAAAGCAAAUAAUGCUUUCCCAUUUCUUCUUUUGCUUUUUGUUAAAAUUUAUUUUUAAACUCUUGCUUUUCUGAGUGAGUAUUCAGUUGAUUCGAUUUAAAAUUUAAUCUAAUUAAAUAAAUUAAAAAUAAAAAUUUUAAUAUUUUUAAAAAUCAAACUGAAUUAAUUUUAAAUAGAAUUUAAUUUGAAUCAAAUCGAUUUGAUUCUAUUUGAUUCUGUUCGAUUUGAUUUUAUUAAUUUUGUAUCCAUUAAACUGAACUAAAACUUUUCCACAUGGAAUCAAAAAAAAAAUACACAGAUUUUAUUAAUUUUGUAUUUUUAUAUUACAAUUAAAUAAUAAAAAUGAAUUACUUUCUUGAAAUAUUUCUUUAGGAAAAAUAUUUUAUAAGUUUUUUUUUUUAAAUGGAGCCUAAGUAAGUAAUUUUUUUUUCUUUUAUCAUUAAAUAAGUAUUCAUUGAGAUUAAAUUGAAGAGUUGGAGAGCUUCAAAUAGGAAUUCAAUAGACAAAACAUUUCAUUUUAGGGUAGCAUUCAUCUAGGCUAGGAAUGAAAAUUAGUUUGGUAUUUGAGUACCGAACGGGUUUAGGUGAAUUUGAGUUUUAUCCAUAAACAAUUAUGUUUAUAUAAAUAAUUAAGUUAAUAAAUAAUAUAUAUUAUAUUAUCAUAUUUAUAAAUUUUCUCCAUAUUUUUAUUUAAAAAUUAAAAUUUAAAUAUUUUUAUAGAAGAAAAUAGGAGUCGCAAGUUUCCCUCUAUGGCCUCUUUAUGGUUCGAUACUCUCGCUUUUUUCUCUUUUUUAAACCUAAAUUCUUCUUUCCUCUUUCCCGUAAAAGACGAUUUAUAUCAAUUGACUAUCGAUAAAGAAGAAGACGUUGUUGUUCCUAUUAAGAGUUCUAAAGAUAUUCUGAUCGUCACUUAUGAUUUUUAUAUGGUGGGGAUGUUUCUCACAUAAAAUUCAAUCAAUUUUUAGAAUAUGUAGGCCUCUUUGACAGAUUUAUGGUAGCAAUCAUCGAACAGUUAUUGCAUUAAAAAUUUUAGUUCUUACUUACAAUGCAGAUAUUUUAUUUUUGAUGGAAAUAAAAGCCCUUAGUUCUUGUAUGAAAUUUUUUCAUAAUUUUUUACAUUUUAAUAGUUGCUUCUCAAUCAAUAGACAAGGAUUGAGUCUAUGGUUAACUUUUUUUCAAAUUUUAUUGAUUCGAUUGUUUCUAAAUAUAAUGUUCAAUGGAGGUUUACUAGUUAUUAUGGGUUUCCGGAAUCGCAACCACGACGUCAAUCUUGGAACUUUAUUCGAGGUUUAUCUCGUAAAACCUCUUUUCCGUGCCUUUGUUCGGAAAAUUUUAAUGAUUUAUACUUGAGAGAUAAGAAAGAAAAAGUAUGUUUACCAAAUUAUCUUAUGCAACAGGCACUGACAUUUCUAUUAGAUGGAUUCGUCGUAAUACUAAUACUUUAGCCAAAGAAUGUAUCAGGCAUAAUCGUCUCUCUGUUUGGGAUGAUAUCCCUCUUUAUUUAAUAGAAUUUUAUUAAUACAAUCAAUAAUUUUAUUUUUAAAAAAAUAUAUUUUUAUAUAAAUAUUGAUUUUAAAUUAAAAAAUUAUUAAUAAAAAUAUCUUUUAUAUAAAUAAUUUUUUAAAAUAAAUAUAAUCAAAUUUGAAUCUCAUUUAAAUUUUGAGAUCUAUUCGAAUAUUAAUAAUAUUAUCGAAUUCAAAUUUAAAUAGAGUAAUUUUGACAAGUAAUCAACCCUAUUACAUUCAUAAUCUAAAGAUAUAGAUAAAAAAAUAUGGCGGGAAAGCUCCAACUAAAUAAAUCAUAAUAAAAAAUAAAAAAUAAAUAAAAAACAGACAAAAAUGAAAAGAGAAGAUGCCACCUUCCAAGUACUUUCCACAGCAUCAAACACAUGACACAAGAAACAACCUUAGAGUUCGAAGAUUUGUCCAUGUUUGAAUAUUCUUAUCCCCAAUGUGCCAAAUAGAAUUAAUUUUAAAUUUUAUGAUAUAUUUAAAUCAGAUUUAAUUUUUUUUAUCGUCUGAUUGAAACUCAUAAUAAUUUUUUAAAAAAUACAAACUCAUAAUAAUUUUUCAAAAACAUAUAAAUUUAAAAACAUGUGAUGAAAGCUGCAUGUCUAUUAUAAAAUUCAAAACCAAAAUUUCACCAUUUAAAAAUUAAUUUUAUAUUUUAAUUAUUUUUUUAAAUAUUUUUUAAAAUUUUAAAUAUUAUUUUUUUUCUAUUAUAAAUAAUCUUCCCUUAAUUAUUUGAAACACACUAUUCCAUCUUUUAAAAAUUUUUGCAUUCUAACCUAUCAAUUUUAUAUUUUAAUUAUUUUUUUAAUAUUUUUAUAAUUUUAUAUAUUAAAUUUUUUUCUAUUAUAAAUAGUCUUUUUCUAAUUAUUUGAAAUUCAAUAUUCAAUAUUUUAAGAAUUUCAAUAAAAAUUUUUACCUUCUCUUAAUUAUUUUAUAUCUAUCGUCUUAAUUAAAUAAUAUUUCAUUAAAAUUUUUCAUCUUAAUUAAAUGAUAUUUCAUUAAAAUUCCUCAUAAAAUCUAAUCAGUCUUUUUUACAUAUCGUGUAUUUCUAAAUGGUUUGAUUUUCCUUUCCUAACUCUAAAUAGUCGUCGAUAAAAAGAAAACAAAUGCUUCUACCAUAUAUCAGCCAAACCUAACAGAGUUCCCAUAUAAUAAAUUACUCAUAUAAGUCUUUAAUAUUACAGAGAGUAUGCAAAAAUCUUGGGUGGCCAUGAAAAUCCCACAAAAUCUUUAAAUUAAAGAACUCCAAGAACUCUCUUUCCCACCUAACAAACACAAAACGAUAACAACUUCAAUAUCUCUCUUCACCAAUGUAUUGUAAAAACAAAAGACCAAAGCCUCCUAUAAUUCCUAACUGCAAAACUUAUGGGCAUGUGAAAUUCAAAGAUUCCUCAACAAAAGCAAGAGUCUCGAGCUCAAUAUCUGGAAGAUCCAUCACACCUUCCAUAGGAAAAAAAUCGACCACCUCCAUUGAAAAAUCUUCUGCAUUAUUGACAUUGUUAAGAAAUUUCCCAAGCUCUGAGCAAUAAUCACCACUCAGCAGCUCUUGGCUUAUUGAAGGAGACAGUGCAGGCUCCUCCCAUAAAUCCAAAACAGAUUGUCUUUCUUCCACCAUUUUCAACUCUGAGAUUUCUUCAUGUGUCUUCUCUUCAUUGUUCUCUUCUUUGAUUGGAGCUUCAAUUCCAUGGCUAAGUGAUGUUCUUGUAGGCACAUCAAGCACAGAAGAUGGUGAUGGAUAAGAGAACAAACCACUUGAUUCUUCGGAUUCGAGUUUCGUAUUAAUUGACAAUUUCUUAAGCUUUCUUGCUUCCAUCAUCAUCUCAAACUCCUGCUUCUUUUUCCUAUAUGCAGCAGCAGCCUCUUCAGCAGUUGUGUAAGUGCCAAGCCAUAAUCGAACCUUUCGAAACGGAUCUCUAAUCUCAGCUGAAAACUUCCCCCAUGGCCUUCGUCGAACACCUUUGUAGUUAGAUGACAAAAUUCUAGUUUUCUUCUGGUUAGAAUUACUUGUGAUUUUGCCUCUAUUGGUAUUGUUUUCUUGUGAAGAAUUCUCAGCAGUUGAUUCAUGUGGAGGAAGAGAGAUUUUAAUCUCUCUCACAAAAAGCUUAGAACCCAUCAAUCUGUUGCUCCUCUCAUUUUGGCCUUCAUCUUCAUCACUUGAGGAGUCUGUGGCCUCAGGAUCAUGGCAGAUGAUGCGAAUUUUCUUUGUCGACAGCAAAUGGCUUGGUUGCUUCUUCUCUUCUUUACCAAAACUCAAAUUUUGAUCCAAAAUUAGCCUUUUAAGGCCUGGCAUUGUAUGAAUAUAACAGAAAAAGCCUUAUCUAUGAAGGAAAUUAACCCAAGGAAAGGAAGGAAAAUGGGGGAGGAAAGAAAAUCUUUGAUAAGCUUGAUUAUCAAGAAAAACCCAAAACCCUAAAACCCCUAAACCCCAAAAUUGAAAAUGAUAAAUAUUUUCCCAGACAAUCCUCAGAGCAAUCUACCCAAAAACAAUUGCUGCAAAAAAACAUCAAAACCACAAAAUUAGAACUCUAAACGAUGAUAAAAUCACUGAUUUUUCAAAUAUCGGAUGAGAAUUCAAAUCGAAAACUAAACAAAAGAAGAGAAACCCACAUACCGUUUUGAUCUUAAUAUUAUAGAAAUAACAAGGAACUGAUGUUUCUUGCUCGUCUGAAGGGAACAAGAUGGGCUGCAAAGAGUGAAGAAGAAACAGAGAGUGAUGCAGAGAACGUGCAAAAAGAUCCAGAGCUUCUUGUGAGCUCCAGUGAAUAGAUCAAAUCCAGACGACAUAAAUCCUCUGUUUCUCUCUUCUCUGCUUUUCUCAGAGAAAAUCUUUCUCAGAGCAGAGAGAAUCUGCAAAAAAACAGUAAACCCAAAAUUAAAAAACAAAAGAAAAUCACAAAAAUAUCGGAUUAAUAGAUAUCCCUAUAAUCAAGCAACAAAAUAUCAUGAAAAAAGGAAAAUCAAGACAAAAAGAAGUGAAACAAAUAAUCGAAAGUAUCAAAUCAAGAAACAUGAUUAAUACCAAAAGUAGAACCUCUGUGUUAGAAAUAGAAGCUCUAUUACUGUCUGGUCUCUCUAAAGAAGUUGCAUGAGAGAAAAAACAGAGAGCACAGAACAGAGGGUGUGGCCUCUGAAGUGUUUGUUGCGCGAGAAAAGAGUGGAAAGUGAAGUUAAAAUGGGAAGUUUCAAAGGGGAGGGGCCAUGUGGAAGCCUCGUGUGUGAUUAAGCAGGACCACCUCACCUUCCAAUCUCAGCUCUCCCACUUGUUCCGUUACUCUCUAGAUUUCUUCGUUAGAGAAAACUUUACAAAAGCUUCCUUCUUGCAUGCCAUUGCUCUAUUAUUUAUAUAUAUAUUUUUUAAUUUUAUGUUCUCACAAUUGUCUUGUGUGCAUUUGCUAGUCCCUGCUUUUAAAUAAACCAAACUAUUUAGGAAAUAUUUUGAAAUUCGAUUAAUAUAAAUUUAAUUAGUUUCAAUUUAAUUUUUAAAUUAAUUAAAUUUAAAUUUAAAAUUUAAAUUUAUUUAGUUUGAAUUCUAUAAUACUCAAUUCGUUAAUAUUCAUGAAUUCGAUUAUUUUCAAUUCUACAAAGAAUAUUGCAGAAUAAAUUUAUUAAUAGAAUGAUAUUAAUAUUAUAAGAAAAUUAAAUUUAAAUUUUACAUAUAUUUUUAUGAGUAAAUCAUAAAUUUUUAAAGUUUAAUUUUAUAUAAUUUAAUUACAUUAUUAAAAUUUAAAAAUAUUAAAAUUAUUAAUAUUUAAAAAUUUAUUCUUUAUUAUUUACAAAUUAAUUUAUAUAUUUUUUUUAUAUAAUUAAAAUUAUUUACUUUUAAAUUUAUUAAUUUUAAAAUAAAUAAAUUAAAUUAUUUAUAAACUAUUCAAAAUUAAAUUCAAUUAUUAAAAAUAUUUACUAAAUGAAUAAAAUUUGAGUUUAUUAAUAUUUAAUUGGAAUUCGCAACAAGUGAACUCAUAACUUAAAUAAAAUUUAAUAAAUUAAAUUUAAAUUUUUAAAAUACAGCUCACACAUUUAUAUAGAAUUUUGAUUCGAUUCCUAAUAAUUAUAUCAUUAAAAUGAAAAUUUAAAUAUUAAAAGAGUAGAAAUUAAAAUAUUUCAGAUUAAAUUAGAAAGUGUUGAUUAAGAGAAAAAUAAUAUAUAUAUAUCAUUUUACUUUCUAAUCGUAACGUUAAUGUAUGCUGUUAUAAUUUAUAAUAUUGUAUAAAAAUAUAAUUUUUUUAAUUAAUAUAUAUAUAUAAUUAUAAAAUAUAAAAGUACACAAAAUCCUAUUCCAUAAUUUUUUAAUUAAUUUUAAAAUUUUUAAAUAAUAUUAUAAAUAAAAAUAAAAAUUUAUUAUUUAAUGUUUACGGUGCUAAUAAAUUUACUAUUUAAUUUUUUAAUUUUUUUUAAAAUAAAAUCUCUUAAUUUUAAAAGAUGUAUUAAAAUUUAUUUGAUAAUAUGAAAAAUAUACUAAUUAAUUAUUUUAUUAAUUGUAAAUAUUAAAUAUUAUAAAAUAAUUUAAAAUACUCAUAAUAUAAAGAGAUUAAUUAAUAAAUUUUUUAAAAUAUUAAAUAAUCGACUAAUAAAUUUUUUAAAAUAAUAAAUUAAUUAACGGUUAAAAUAAAUGAAAUUAUUAAUGAUUAGAUUUUUUAAAAUAUUAAAAAUAUUUUAAUAUAUUUUUUAAAAUUAAAAAAUUAUUCAAAUAGUAUAAAUUAAAUAAUAAUUUUCACUAAAUAAAACAACAUGCCAAGAAAAUAGAUUUUUUUUUUCAAAAAAAUAUAAUUUAAGAUUUAAAAAAAAUAAUUAAAUAUUUCGAUAAUACGUUUUAUUUCCAAGUUGACAUAUUUAAUGAAUUUUCACUCACAAUUAAUUUGAAUUUUAGGAAUUAUUAAAUUAAUUAAUAAUUUACAUGUUUAGGCCGAUUCUAAAGUUGAUUGGGUGAAAAUUAAAUGAUAUUUUGUAAAAAUAUUUAUUCUUUCAAUGGAUUAAUUUCUUCCGCUAUUUUUGAAUUUAAAUAUUUAAAUUAAUUAAUUUCAUGAAUUUUUUAAUUUUAAUUUGCAUAAAAAAUUUAAUUUCAAUUUAUUUUUAAUUUUUAUAGAACUAUUUAUAACAGAUUAUAAAUUAUGACUACAUAAUAUUUUCAAAAUUUUAUAAUUAGCUUUAACUUCCAAUUUUCAUUUGAUUAUUUUCUAUUUAUUUGAAUUUACAAUUAUCUUAAAUUUUUAUAAUCCAAAUUUAUUUCUUUGUUUAAUUUAAAAUAUUGUAUUAAAAUAUAUAAAUAAAAUUCCAUUUAAUAUUAAAAAGUUUUUAGAGUUAAUGCUCUAAUUAUAAAAAAAAGGUUAUUUGAGAAAAAGUUAGGUGUUUUUUCAUAUUCUUUUAAUUUUCUUAAUUGUAAUCAUAACUACCAAUUUAAUGCUAUUAUUAUUUUGGCAACAAAACAACUAAUACCAUUAGUAAUGCUGACGUGAUGUGGUCCCACCAAAAUCAUUCCAAGGAUUAGUAUACAAACCAAAUACAACUAGAAUUCAACCCAUAACCCAAGCCUGCCACAGAAAUCAACUCACAGCAUGGACAGAUAUUAUUUAGUUUGCAGUUAAAAAAAUCAAUCCAACCGAUUUAAUUUAAUAAUUCAUUUCAGUUUAUAUAAUAAAUUAUUUCUGUUAAAUUUUAAAUUUAAAAAUUAUUAAUUUAUUUAUUUCAAUUCAAUUUUAAUUAAUAAAAAUUAAAUAUGGAAUCAAUUAAUAUAUAAUAUAUUAAAGAGUGAUUUACAAUUUAGUCCUUGAGUAUUGCCAUUAUUAACAAGUCAAUCCCUAUAUUUUUAGAAAUCUAUUAAAACGUCCUUAUAUUUUAUUUCCGUCAACAAAAUAGUCAUUCCGUCCUAUUUUCCGUUAAAAUUAGAUAAAGGAGGAGAGAGAAAAUUUUUAUCAACAAAACAUCCUAUUUUCCGUCGCCUCCUUUUUCUCUAAGAUGAAGAAGAAGAAUAAUAAUAAUAAUAAUAAUAAUAAUAAUAAUAAUAAUAAUUAGGGGUAAUUUAGUCUUUUACUAUAUUUUUAACGGCAAAAAUAGACAGAAUGACUAUUUCAUUGACGGAGAGAAAAUAUAAGGAUAUUUUAAUAGGUUUCUAAAAAUACAGGGACUGACUUGUUAAUAAUGGCAAUAUCCAGGGACUAAAUUGUAAAUCUCCCAAUAUUAAAUCCAUAUUACAUGUAUUGAUAUGUACUUUAGUGGUGAAAAAAGCUACACGUAAGAUAAUGACUUGUAUAGGCCAUGAAAGCAUUGUCUUAUUCUUUUUUUCUUACCUUUUUUAACAAAUAAUAUCAAUAGUACAUUCUCAACGAAUCUCAUCCAUUUUUUUCCUUUUAUAGAUUCAUUCUUUUCUUUCACCAAAACCCUACUACCCCUUAUUAUUCUCGCUCCUCUUGUGGUGUUGCCGUCUCCAUUUCUCCUCUACGGUUUUUUUUUUCAACUCCUUUUCUAUUCUUGCCUCUUCACUUUCUCUGCUUCUUUUCGAGUCACCUUGCAUUUCUCUCUUUCGCCACGAUCAUGAUUGAUUCCUCCUAAGACGAAGUCGAUAAUCCCAUGUCAAUGGUGUAUUGUAGUAAUCGAUUGUGUGAUGAAGCCUUGAUUGAUCUCUUCACAAUCGAAGUCAUUGAGGGAUGUCAUAGGAGACGAAGUUGAUGGCCACCAAUGGCUUUUUCUUUUCUCUCAUCUCAUUCUUAGGAGAUUUUCUAAGAUUUAAUUGUUGCUCAUGAAUAAACUCUAGUUUUUUUUGUUUUGAAUGUGAUUUGUAUGCAUCUUUAAUCUAAUGAUAUGUAUAAGUGUGAAUGAUUAAUUGUUACUUUAUAAAUUGCCUCAAUGGAAGAAUGGAUAUAUUUAUAUUUUUUAAUGAAUUUUAAAUUGAUUUGUAUGUAAUUUUUGAUUGAUAUGUAAAAUUAUGGGUGAUUAUAUAGUUGAUGUAUGAGGCUUUUUUUUUAAUGAAAUUCAUCAAAGAAGCAUUUAAAAAACCUGUAUUUUUUGAUAUCAAAUAGAUUUUUGAAUCGGAUCGAACUAAAUUUUGUAAUUUGAUUUAAUUCGAUUCCUUCACUAGUUUGGUUCGGUUCGAUUUUCACAAUUAAUAAAUUCAAUUAUUUCGGUUUUGGGUAGUUCAAUUUGUUACUGAAUUGAAUCGAUCGAUACUUAGCCCUAGCACCAAUCGCCACUAUCACUGAUCAUCACUACCAUCAUCAUCGAUUAAAUCAAAGCAGCAAAAAAAAUAUAGCAACAACAAUGACAAAAAAAAAUAAAGGCACAAGAAAUAAUCAUGCAUGCCCAAAAUGGACUCUUAUAGGUAAACACAAAUUCAAGACAGCUCAAAAACAAAUCUAGCGCACAAGAAGCAGACGCCGUGAUAAUAUGCACAUUUUGUAGUUUUAAUAUUAUAAAAAUAUUUAGAUAUUGAGUUUGAUUUUAUUUAAAACCGAUUGAUUUGCUUGAAUUUUGAUAUUUUGGUAGGUUAAACAAGAAUUGGAGAAUAACAAGAGAAAAAUCUAAUUUAAACUGUACAUUCUGAAAUCAAAAGAAUCGUGAGCGUAAUCAAGUUUACAGAAGGAUAAGAGGUAGAGUCAUGUUUGAACUCUAACUAUCAGACUAUUGCAUUAUGGACUAUAUUAUGUGCAUAACAUAUUUGACGAGAGAAAUCAGAGUUCAGUUUUAAAUCCAAGAAACAAACAAAUAACUCCCAUCUCUCAAAAUAUACUCGACUUUGAUUUUGAUUACUUAUAUUUAGGUUGAGCUAUGACUCUUAGUGCUUUAAAAAGAGGACAUUUAAUGUACAAAGUAUCUCAUAUUUCAUCUCAUCUCUCAUUUAUCAUUCUUAAUUAGCUUAGAAGGCUGAAAGCACUCUUCUCAUUAUGGUGUUUCAGCCAUGCAUAUAUGUAGCUAAGUUCUUCUUUCAGUUAAAUGAUAAUUAAGAUUUCAGUUUAAUUAGUUAUGAGAUUUAUGUGAUUCUAUUAUUUUCUUAAUUAUUCUUGAUAUUUAUAUUAUUCCUGUAACUAGUGUUUAUUAUUAUUCUAGUAAUUGUUAUAAUAAGGUCCAUUGUGUAAUUGUUAGAAUAAUAUAUUGCUAAUCAGAUUGAUUAAAUUCGUAAUUAUUUAGUUUAAUAUGAAAUAGGUGGUGAAUUAGGUUGUGUAAGACCUUCAUAAAUAACAAUAUAAUCUAACUUAAAUGAACAGAGCGCCUUGCGUUUGUUAGUUAGAAUCAGAUCCUUCUAAUUCUUAAUGCGAUAAUUGGAUUAAAUUCUAUGAGUGUCUCCUAUGGUUAUCCAAGAAUUAGAAUUAGUUAACGAACAUCUCUUAACUAGUUUAAAAUCUAAGAAAUGAUUGGAUAUAUGAAGCAAUUUCGAUAUCUAUAACUGAUUUAUCAAUAAUUAAUUUGGAAUUAUUUUUAUAUCUGUAAUCAAACAAUAAAGCUGAAACUAAGAUUAUUCCUUUGACUGAAUAUUUCUCAUCUUAUCUUUUAUCUUACAUUUAAUUGCUUCUUUUUUUGAAUUAGUUUUAUUUAUUUUUACUUCUCUAUAUUCAAAACCCUCCUAUUUUAUUUUAUUUUAUUUUAUUUUUAUUUCUUUGUUCAUUCAAUAAAAUUUAUUUAUUUAUCAAUCUCUAUGGGAUCGACCUUGCUCACCACUAUCGCAAUUUAUUUUAUUUUAGAAAAGCAGAAAUUUAUUUUUUAUAGUUUUGACGCCCAUUAAAUUUUGGCACCAUUGCCGAGACUGAUUUAAAUUGAUUUAUUAAUUCUUUUGAAUAAUUUUAUUUAAUCUUGCAGCUAAAUCUUGGAUUUGCUUAUAGAGAUUUAUUGCAGCAAUGUGAUGUAUUCAAAUUUAAGCUGUUAUGAACCAUCUUUCUCUUUUCUUGCAUCACAACUUUCAUAUUUGACUAGUUUGGUAUAAGGUAUUGCUAUAAGAAACCUGCAACAGCAAGUAAAUGCAGUGGGUGAACUUUAUAAUCCUCCUCAAAAACAAUAUGAUGCUUGCUUGAACACUUAUAAUUAAGGAUAGGGAGAUCAUUCAAAUUUCAACUAUAGAGCAAUGCCGACCUGUUUCUAAAAUCCUCAGCAACAGCUAGCAUUUUCAUCAAAUUUAGGUAUGUCUCUUGAGGAUAUUGUUAAAAGUUUAGCAAUUAACACUCAAGAAUUUCAGCAGGAAACAAGGGAAAUAAUUCAAAAUUUAAAAACACAAAUGAGCCAACUAGCUACCUCCUUAAGCAAAUUGGAGUCUCAAGAGGAAUUACUUUCCCAAACAAUAGUCAACUCACUCAAGGGAGAAUGUGAGUAUUGUUACAUUGAGAAGUGAAAAAGAGUUGCUACAAAAUCCUCGUGAGGUAGGUCGUGGGCACGACGAAAAUGCAGACCUGGAGAAUGAAAUUUCAGCACCUAAAACAAAUAGUAAAUUGACACCCGCACAUAAACUAGCUAAACAUGAUGAUCUAAUAAUCAAACCUCCUUUUCCUUGAAAGGUUAGCCAAGUCCAAAAAGAAGAAAGAAGAGAUGAGAUCCUUGAGAGAUUUUACAAAGUGGAGGAACCAAAAGUGGAAUUGAAGUCAUUGUUCGAUCAACCACCUCUAUUCGUAAAUGAGAAUGGCACUUCACACGGUUUGAAAGUACAAUUUCAACAAGUAUUUCUCAAGCCAUUUUACGAAGAAUUUAAGGUAAAACUAACUAAGGAUGUCACUUUUAGUGACCCAACGCCAAUUGUCUAAUGGUCAUGAUAUUCAAAUAAAAUCUAGCUAAGACUAUAAAUUAUAACUAUUUCUUCUCUUAUCCCUCUAAUUUUUUUUUUUUACUUUUUUCUUUAAUUUAAAAAAAAUGUAUUUUUCUUUGAUAGCCUAGAUUUUUUCUUUUUAUUCUCUUAGGUAACGGUAAAGACAAGGAUAUGUUUUGAGAGUGUUUAUUUCAUUUACAAUUCUCAUAGAGAAAUGUUUGUGUUUUCAGUUACGUACAUAACCACAUCCACGACGCUUACAAAGUCAAACCCUCUUGUUCAGAUUUUCAUUUUACUUCAUCUCUUUUUUAUUUAUUUUAUCUUAUAAUUUUUUUUAAUCAAGUCUUCUUUCCCAAUAAUCUGAUCUGAUAUGAUACACUACCAUUUGCAAUUUUAAGUUUUUACAUGUCUGAAUUCUUAUAUCAUACCCAAAAUGAUAUGUUUUACUGCAGGAGUUAAUGGAGGCUUAUUUUAUUAUUUAUUCUUAUUUUAUUAUUUAUUCCUUUAUUUUUAUUCUUAAUUUUACUUUUAUUUUUUACUCUUCGCACUUACACAACCCUAAUCAUUUUCUUUUUUUUUUCUCUCACCAUAUUGCAGCCGCACAUCACCCUCUCCAUGACUCUCAAACAAUGGUCAAUCACUCACUCUUCCUUCAUUGAUAGUCGAUGAGCAAAGAUCUUCACCGGGCGAAAUCCAUCGUGCGAUGAAUCUCCACCAUGAGCAGCUGACAACCACGAUGUGAUACCACUAAAUCGCAACAUAAAUUCCAUGUCCAACCUAUUGUGCGAUGUCCACCAUGCCCCUGUCUCCAUGAAUGAUGAUUUCUCUCUCCAAGUAUAUAUUGCAACUACAAAGAUUUGAAGAUAUGAUAUGCAUAGCACAUUGAGGAUAACUUCAUUAAGUUCGUGCCUUUGGUUAUAUCCACAGCUAAACCUAUGACACUACAUCUUAUCAAUAGAUCUUUUCCACCCACCAGGAAAGUACUUGAAUCUAUAUUUUCUGUUAUUUGAAUGUGAAUUUUAAGUGUGGGGAGGAAUGUUUUUGAUGACUUGCUUUAUAUAGCUUUGUUCCAUAUUGAGAGCAAUGUGACUUAAGUGUGGGGGAGAGUUACAGUUCAUAUAUAUGCUGCUCAUCUGUUUUUGUGUUCUUUAGUUUUAGUUUUAUUUUCUUUUAUUUUAAUUAUUUUCUAUUUUAUUUGGUUUGUUUAUUUUCUUUAGUUAAAAAAAGACUUUAGAGUUAAAUUAAAUUAUUUUAGAUAGUUAACAUAAAUGAUAUUUUCUUAUCUUUUUAUGUAAAUUAUGAGCGAUACUAGCAUUUUUUUUUUAUGAGUUAAAAUCAUAAACCAUAUAAGUUAACAUAAUCUCAUUUCACCUUUUAAAAAUAAUGUUAAUUGUGUUUUGUAAUAUAUAUAUCUUUUUACAUUUAAGCACCACUGGAUAUGGGUUUUUUUUAAUAUAUAGAUCGAUGAUAAUAAUAAUAAUAAUAAUAAUAAUAAUAAUAAUAAUAAUAAUAAUAAUAAUAAUAAUUAGUAUUAUUGUUGUUAUUAUUUGAUUUGUUAUUUAAUUAUAAAAAUUAUUAUGUUAUUCAAUUUAAAAUAUUAUAUUAAAAUAUAUAAAAAAAUCUCACUUAAUAAUAAAAAAUUUAGAGGUAAUAUGCGAAUUAUAAAAAAGAAAGUAUUCAUAUAAUUUAAAGAAAAUUCUUAAUUGAAUCGGUUCGCCAUUGACUCGAGUAUUUUUAAGGCAUAUAUAAAUGGAUCUUACUAUGAAAAAUUUUUAAAAAUUGACCUUAUUUAAAAAUUUUAAAUUCGUAAUAAAUUGAGUUUAUUUAAAAAAUUUCCUGUAAUUUAACAGUUUUAUGGCAAUUAAUCAUACAUGCUUAUGUAUUUUUUUUCUUUAUUGUAAUAAUAACUUUCAAUUUAAUGAUAUUAGUGCAAGUUUAGUCCAGUAGUAAAGUGCAUAUCAGUAAAUAUGAGAUAUCUCAGAUUUUAUUCUCUUAAUUUUCGGUUUCCAUUUAAAAAAAAAUUAAUACUGUUAAUAUUUUAAAACAACUAAUACCACUAAAAAUGCUAACAUGAUAUAUUAAUUUUCUUUUCCUUAUUAAUGAUUAUGUAGUUUCAUCAAAUAAAAAAAAAUGAAAAUUAUAUAUAUACAGCAUUUUUAAAAAAACCAUAAAUUUAAUUAGCCAUAUCAUUUUAUCAUUUGUAUUUGUGAAAAAGUAGAAUAAUUUGUAAUUUAAAUUUCAAAAUAAAAAAGAAAUAAUUUCAAUAACAAGAAUUCUCAUCUCAAUACCUCUCUCUUAAUUUCCCUAACUAAAACCUCUUACGCCUUGAACGAGUUAAGUUUCUGCUCACCAAAAUCCCUAUUAAAUCACAAUUACAUUUGAAUUCAAUUUGCACUCAUCAGUUGAUUUUGAACAGAAUUAGAAACCCACGUAUCCCAUCAGUGUAAAAUACAACCGGAAGAACCAAAGAAAACAUGAAAACUUCCACUACAAGAAAAGAAAUUGAUUAUAACACUUUUAAAUUUGUAUAUAAAUUUAUUUUUUCUACUUUAUUAGUUUAUUUUCUUUAUAUUUUUUCCUUUGAAAAUCAAGAUCCAGGCCUAAGAUUAGUUUGUAGAAAAAUUUUUGUGUUAGAAUUAGGGGAGAAUAUAUUUCGGUUCAAAUCGAAAAACUGAAUCAAACAGAUCAAUUUCAGUUCAGCAAUUUGGUUAGUCGUACCAUUCUGUUUUGUUAGUUUAAUAUUUUUCAGAUUAUUCGAUUCGGUUUAAAUGUGUUAAAUAACGGACUAACCAAAUUAACCUAUUUUACUAUAUACUAUUAUAUUAACCCUUAUCCAACCCAACCAUCAACCUAAGUCCAAUCUCUUUUCUCUCAUCUUUUACCCAAUCCAAUCAACAGCGCAAGCCUCAAUAUAUUAAAUUUAUAAAUAUCUGUUUUGAUAUAACUGAAUCAAUUUUUAUCAAUUUAGUUCGGUUCAAUUAUAUCUUAAUAAUCGGUUUAGUUCAAUUUUAAUUUUUUAAAAUUUAAUUUUUGAUUUUUUUAUUUGAUUCGGUUUGAAACCUAACCGAAGCCCGUUUUGACAGUAUUAGUUUUGUUUUAUUUCAAUUUAGAGAUUCUAAUUAGGCUUGCACAAUCGGUCGGUUCAGUUCCAAAUCGAACCGACUUGGAAUCGCUCAUAUUUUUUUUUAUUUGAAUAAAAGAUUUGAUAUCCAUUUUUAAAAUGAAUUUUUUUAUUUGGUCCGUUUUAAGAUCGAGUCCACAAGAACUCAAUUAGAUGGAUUCGUAGACUAUCCAUUUUAAAAAAUACUAAAAUAGUAUAUUUUUAUUUAUUAAUUUUAUGUUUUGUAGAUAAACAUUAAGAUGUGGAUGGUAAGAAAAGGGUUGAUAGUGGAGAUAUAUCAAUUUUUAAAAUAAAAUUUAAAUAUUAUUGAUUUAGAGAAAAAUGAUGUUAAAAAUCUUGAUAUUUGAAAUUUAAAAUAUUAUCUAUAUUUUGAUAUUUAAAAUUUUAAUUUUAGAACUAUGCUGUGUUUGUUAAGGGUAUCUCUAGGUUUAUAAAGCAUACUGUUACAUUAAUGAAAUUUUAUAUUUAUAAACAUCUAGGGUGAGCAGUAUUUGGUUUAAAUCGAAAAAAUUGACCGAAUCGAUUUAAUUUGAAAUUUUUAUUCGAUUUUUUAUUUAUUUUGGUUUGAUUCAGUUUUUAAUUUCAAAAUUUUCGAUUAUUUCGGUUUAGUUCUGUUUUGAUCAGAAAAAAUCGAAAAAAUCAAACUGAACCGAUUUAGUGAUAAUAAUAUAUUAUUUUUAAUAAUAUAGAAAAAUUAAAUCAUAUUAAGAUUAAAAUAUUUUAAUUAAAUUUUAAAAUAUUAAAAAUAAAGUGUAAAAAAUAAAAAAUUUAUUAAAAAUCGAAAUAGAUCAAAUCGAAUAGAAUCAAACUGAAUCAGACCGGUUCGGUUCGAUUCGGUUUUUUAUUGAAAUCAGUUCGAUUCGGUUUUUAUAAAUACUAAAAUUUUGAUUUUCGGUUUAUUCAAUUCGAUUCAGUUUUGAACCGAACCGACCGAAUGCUCACCCCCUAUAAACAAUUAUUGAUAUAAUUUCCUAAAAGAAAGUUGUUAUAUUUUUUUAUAGUUGUGCAUUGUUUUUUCAUAUAAAUCAAUUUUAAUUAUGUAAGCAGAGUAAUUGGAAAGAACACCAAACAUCAAAAGGAAAGUAAUGGCGUUUCUAUUAAUAACAAAUGACGGGGGAGUUAACGUGAGUAAUUCAUUUAUAAAUAUUAAUUUCAACAUAAUUUUUCAAUUAAGUGUUUUACUAUUUAUUUCUUAUAGUUUAUAAAAUUCAUUAAUUAAUUUCUCAAUUUUAUAAAAAGUCUACUAAUUAGUAUCUCUAUAUUAAGGGUAUUUUAAACUUUUUUAACAUUUAACUACUCGUUGUUCUAAAAUAAGUAACCGAGAGAAAGGUGAAUGAGUCGCUUUACCAAUUUUUCAACCAUUGCUCUGUGUUUUAAUGAAAAUUUGUGAUUACUAAUUCGAAGUGUAAAAAGAGUAAUGGCUUAAAAUAAAUAUGUUAAAAAUUUUCUUAAAAGAUUAAAAAACCAAUUUAUCACAGACAAACACGUACUGAAUAGAUAUAGAUAAUGUAAAGUAGAAUUAAAUUAACAAGUUAAUUUUUAACAUAUUCUCAUUAGCAUUUAUUUAACUUGUAAACAUAUAUCUUAUAUAAAUAAUGAAAGUUAUAAAUAAAGAAUUUAGGGAUAAGAAAAUCAAACAUAAAAAUUUAUAAUGGUUCGGCUAACACUGUCUAUAUCCACUCUCUCAAAAACUUUCUUUAAGUCUUCACUCCACUAAACCUCUUUUACCAUGCAACAUGAGAACGGUCUUACAUAUAACGACAAUCUUUUCAGAUACUUGUAGACCUUUAUAAGUUGAUAUACUUCUACCUAAACUUCAAUAGGUGCUUAAAACCUUUAUUAAGUGAACACACUUGAUCAAUUUUUAUGUAGAUUUUAAUUAAAAAAGAAAUACUCUCAACAACUCUCAGUGAUUACAACGGAAUGUUAUUAAAAUGAGAGAGAAAAUAUUUAUCGAUGAAUAUCAAAACUUUGAAUGAAAAACUUUUAACAUAAGAGUUUUGAUGCUCUUAGAAAAUCAGUGCUUCCAUUCCUAAUUUACGAAGAAAUUCAAUCUCUUAAAUAAGUAUCUGAAAAUUUUUUUUCUUAGCUAUCAACAGUAAUAAAUUUUGAAAAUAGUAGCCGUUAUAAUAUUGAAAUUCGUGCACACCGAAAUAAAUUAAAUGCGCAAACUGAAAGUAGUUAGCUAAAAAUAAAUGCAAACAAAAAUUAAAUACCUAAAUUUAAACUGCAUCUAAAAUUAAAUGUCUAAUUUUAACUUUCUAAAAUUUUAAUUAGCUAAAACAAUAAUUUUUAAAUUCUUGCUUUUUGAAAUUUUUAGAAUAAAAUUUUUUUUUCAAAAAAUAUUUAAAUAGAAUAAAAGGAAAAAAUUUUAUUAUUGGCAUAUCAACUUAUUCACUCAUUUACAAUAAAUCCUAAAAUUACUUAGUUUCACUUAGUUUCCUUUGAUUUAUCUUAUAUUGCCUUAAAAGUCUUCUUCCUUUAUGUUGCAGAAAACUUCUUUGAUCUUCAAUAUUUUCCAAAUACUCUAUUUUUAAUACUAAUUAAAGAUAGUUAGAUAAGUAAAAUUUAUUAAAUUUUGGUACCAUAAACUAUUUCAAAAUUAAAACUAUCUCAAAUUUGAUUAUAUAUUAUCCAAAUUCAUCUUAAUAACUUUCGGUCAGACCGAAUACUAAAAAAUACCUAACUCAUCCCAUGAUUAUUCACUUUUAUAACGAGCACUUCAAAAAUUAGAUAAUAAAGCAAAAAUAUUUUUGAUUUCUCACCGUCUUUCACCACUGCUGAAGCCACGCAGUUUUCUCUCCCAAUUCCAUGAAACAACCUCCAAUAUGACUCUCCUUUUUCAUAAUUGCUAAUCCUACCACCUUCUGGCCCAAACAUCAAAAUCUACUAGUUCAUAAGAUAUAAUAAACAUCAAAUAAAUGAUGUAAAUCCAAUUAUAAAAUAGUAAAAAUAAAUAUUGGAAAGCCAUUAGAAAUAUUUAAAAAUUAUAGUUGAAUUUAGGGGUGAACAUUCGGUCGGUUUGAUUUAAAAUCGAAUCGAAAAAAUCAAAAAUUAAAAUUUUAGUAUUUAUAAAAAUCAAACCGAAUUGAUUUUGAUCAGAAAUCAAAUUGAACCAAACUGGUCUGAUUCAAUUUGAUUUAGUUUGAUUGAUUUGAAUUUUUAAUAAAUUUUUUAUUUUUUACACUUUAUUUUUAAUAUUUUAAAAUUUAAUUGAAAUAUUUUAACCUAAUAUCUCUAUAUUAUUGAAAAUAAUAUAUUAUUAUCACUAAUUGAUUCAGUUUCUUUUUUUUUAUUUUUUUCUCAUCAAAACCGAAUCGAACUAAAAUAACCGAAAAUUUUAAAAUUAAAAAUUAAAUCGAAUCAAAAUAAAUAAAAAUCGAACUAAAUUUUUAAAUUAAUUUGAUUCUGUCAAUUUUUUCGAUUUAUAUCGAAUACUGUUCUCCCCUAAUUAAAUCUCACGUCGAUUUAAAAAGAAAAUAAUGCGACUCUUAUAUGAGCCCUAAGCACUUCUCUAUUGUUAAACAUAUAUUUCAUUACUCUAUUUGUAUUUUUUCCAAAGAAUCUUUUAGAAUAAUAAUAAAAAUUAAUAACCUUUUUUAGUACGAAUAAUUUUAUAAAAAAAAUUUAAAUAAAUUUUAAAUUUUUAUAUAUAAUAAAAAAAUUUGAAUUAAAAAAUUUUAAAUUUUUUUAUUUUAAAUAAAAAUUUUGUACAAAGACUUGAUUUCAAAUAAAAGGAAAAAAAUAAAUUAAAUCUGGAGUUUAAAUCUUCUCAAUGACUUAUUCUAAUGUAUUAAUUUUUCUGAUAAAAAAAAUUAUUAUGUCAUUUAUACAAUGAAUUAAUUGACUUUUGUAUUUUUUGAAUAAAAAAUAAUAAUUAUUUAAUUUUAAUAGUUGUUGAUUUAUUUCAAAUGAAUAAAUUUUACAUAAACAAAAAUAUAAAUAAUAUGUUAGCUGAAAUAAUGAAAGAUCUUAUAUUUAAAUUUAAAUUAAUAAAAUAUGAGUGUAGAAAUAAGUUGAUAUAGAUAAGAAAAUUUUCAUUUUAAAUUUUGUCAUUUUCCAAAUUUUUAAUGAGAAAUAAGUGAUAAAUAAGUUAAAUGUGGUGUUUGCUAAAGACAUUGGCCCAACUUGCUUUCUCUUUUGCUCUCAGCUUAGGGCCCACUUCACCCAAAAAGCAUCUUGGGCCUCUCUUUCUGCAUUAAACGAUUUCACCUUGGGGAGAGCAUAUAUCGGUUUGAAUUAAAAAAUCGAACCGAAUUUAUCAAUUUCGAUUUAAUGAUUUGAUUAAUCAAAAUAUUCAGUUUGGUUCAGUUAGUAUUUUUCAGUUUAUUCAAUUUUUGAUUCGGUUAGGUUUAAACAUGUUAAACAAUCGACAAACCGAAUAACUGAUUUUAAAUAUGUUUUUAUUAUAUGAAACACUGAUUUUAUAUGUAUUUUUAAAUUUUAUAUAGAUUUAUAUAAAUUUUUUAAAUAUUAUUAUUAUAUAUUCAUAAAAUAUUUAUUGAUAAAUUUAUGUAAAAUAUUUAUUGAAUUAUACAACUGAAAUUAGAAGUAAAAAAUUUUAAAAAAAAUUACAGAUUUUCGAUUUGAAGUAAUCGAACCAAACUGAAUUGAUUUUUAUCGAUUCGAUUCAGUUCGAUUAUAUCUUCAUAAUCAAUUUUUUUGUUUUUAAUACUUUUACAAUCUGAUUUUUAAUUUCGAACCGAGGGAUUGCACAGCAUUAAUUUCACCAAAAUAAAUUGUUAUUUUAAUAUUAUUAAAAUAAUAAUUUAAAAUUAUUAUAAAAAAAUAUUUUUAUUAUAAUAAUAUAUUUUAAUAUAUAAUUUAUUUUUUAUUUAAUAAACUUAUAAUUAUAGCCGCACUUUUUAUUCACGCUAAAAAUAUAAAUAAAUUGUUGAUUUAUCUAUAAUAAUAAAGACAGAUGUAUUAAAUUUUAAAUUAUUACUACCUUUUAAAUAUAAAAUAAUAAUUUUUAAUCACUAUUUUAAAUCUAUUUUUAUAGUAUUUAUAAAUAUUAAAUAAUAUAAAUAUUAAAAAUUAAAAUUAAUUAAUUAAGAUUUUCUUUAAUCUUUUAAUUAAAUAGUUUAAUUUUAUAAAAUAAAUGGAUUUUUAAUUAAAUGAUUAAAAAUAGGAAAAAUUACUUUUUAGUCCCUGAGGUUUAACGUAAUUUACACUUCUAUCCCUCUAUUUUGACGACUCAACACUUAAGUCUCUCACUUUCUCUUCCGUCUAAAUUCAUAGUCCUUCCGUCAAAAAUAGCCGUUUGGUCAAAGAGUCAAAGGUGAGGUGAAAUUUUUUACCAAAAAUACCCUUAAUAAAAUUAUUAAAAUUAUUUUUUUCAAGGUGAAAUCCCUUAAUGAAAUUACAUUUAACAAAAUACAUAAGCACAUUAAUUUAAUUUUUAUAAAAAGGACAUAAAUGAAAAGAAACAAACAUAUAUAAAUUUUAGUGAAUAAAUUUAAAAAAUUAAAUAAUUUUCAUUUAGAUAUUUCAAUGAACCAAAAUUAAGUAUUAUUUUUUUUAUUUAGUUUUUAAUUUUAAUAAUAUAGAAAUUUCAAAUACCAAAAUUUAAUAUCUAGUUAAUAAUAUAAAAAAUAACUUCAAAUUUCAAAUUUGAUAAGUUUAAAAAAUUUUAAAGCAUUAGAACAUAAAGAUCUUAAGGAAUUUUAAUUUUAUUUAAGCAUUAAUUUAUAAACUUUAAUAAUAAUUAAUACAUUUUAUAAUUGAAAUUUUGAUUAAUAAUUUAUUUUAAAUUAUUUUUACAUUAAUUGAUAUUUACCAAUGAAUGAAUAAAAUAAGAUCAUGUGGUAAGUUUUAAAAUAUUAUUAUUGAAAUUUUCAAUUUUUAAAUAUAAGAAAUGUUUUUGAAAAUAAAUACUUAAAAUUUAUAAAUAAUUGGGAGAGAGAUUGACAUUUUUUUUAUUGUUGUAAAAAUAAAAUCCAUAAAAUUUUAGUUUUAUUUUUUUAUUUAUUUUGAUUUGAUUUUUAAUUUUAAAAAUUUCAGUUAUUUCAAUUCUGUUUGAUUUUAAUUAAAAAAAUUAAAAAAUCAAAUCAAAAUUAAUUAUUAAUAAUAAUAUAUUAUUUUUUAUAAUAUAAAAAAAUUAAAUUAUAAUUAUUAUUGAAAUAUUUCAAUUAAAUUUUAUAGUAUAAAAAAUAAAGUAUAAAAAAUAAAAAUCUAUUAAAAAUGCGAAUCGAACCAAAUCAAACUAAAUUAGAAUGAUUCGAUUCAAUUUAACUUUUUUUUAAAAUCGAUUCAAUUUGACUUUUACAAAUACUAAAAUUUUAAUUUUAAUUUAUUUAAUUUAAUUUAAUUUUAAAUUAAAUCGACCAAAUAUUCGCUUCUUAACUUCUCUUCCUUUCUCUGUUUUUCAUAAACUUUUUCAAUAUAUUUUAGAAUUUUAAAAUUCAUUUUACAGAUAAUUCAGAAGAUAUACUUUCAAAAUUUUAUACUUAAAAACCAUAUCACAAUCAACAUUAAAAUAGAUGAUGUGGAUUUUACAUAAAAUGUCACAUUAUUAAUGAAAAUUACAUGGCAUGCCACAUUGUCUCUGAACUUAAUAUGCCAUACCACAUCAUUUAUAAAAUAUUAUGUCAGCAUGUCAAUACCAUAUUAGCAAUAUUUAAGGCAGUUAGUCAUAAGGGUGUAAUCGAGUCGAGCCGAGCCGAAUUUUGUAAAAUUCAAGCUCGUUUAUUAAAAAAGUUUGGAAGUUCGAGCUCGAGCUCGAGCUCGACUCGAGCUCUAGUAUUUGAUUCGACCUCGACUCGAGAAUUAAAUAUUAUAAUCGAGCUCGAUUCGAGCUCGACUCGUGAAAGGCUCGUUCGAUUUAAUAACGAGCCUAAUUCGAGCUCGAGCUCGAAAAGCUCGAUUAAGAAGCUCGUUAAUAAAAUUCGAGCUCGAACUCGGAAAGCUCGAUUAAGAAACUCGUUAAAAAAGCUCGAGACCGAGCUCAAAAUUAAAAAGUUUGGUUUGAGCUCAAGUUUAGGCUCGAGCUCGAAUUAAUAAUUACACUUUAAUCAGUUUUUAAUCAUCAUUAAUUUAAAUAAUAUAAAAAAAAGAGAGUGUACAUAAAAAAAAUUACGUAACACAAUUUAUAACUAAAAUAACACAAAUAAAUAUAAAUUCAACAACAUAAUAAAAUUAGAUUACACACAAAAUUUAAUAUCAAACGAAUAAAGUUAAUUCCAACUUCCAACAGUUGAAACAAGCUAAUAUAAUUUAAUUAUCUUCAUAAUCAUCUUCAUACUUGUUCAAUUAGUUAACUUGAAUUUCAACUUCAACAUCCAUAUAACCUUAAUUAAUUAUUAUUAAUAUACUUUGAUAAUUAUUAUCAUCUUUUAUAUUGUAUGCUUAAUUAUAUACAAAAAAAUUUUUAUAAUUAUACUUUAAUUUUAAAAUGUAUAUAAUUUUUACAACUCAAUUUAUCAUGUAGUACUAUAAUUUUAAAAAAUACUUAUUAUAAUAAUUAAUAUUAAUUAUUUGUGAUUAUACAUUAAUUUUAUGGAAUCUUAUUAUAAUAAUUAUAUUCAAAAAAAUUUUAUAAUUUAAUUUUAAAAAAUAUUAAUUAUAAUAAUUAAUCUUAAUUAUUUGUAAUUUUCAAUACUAUAAUUUUUAAAUAUUUAUAAUAGUUUAAAUUUUAUAACUUUAUAGUUAUUUUUAUUUUUUUAAUAAUAUAUGAACUUGUUCAUAAAUUUAUUUAACGAAUUGGUUCACCAAUUUAUUUAAACAAUAUUACUCACGAGCCUAUUUAACGAGUCUGCUCGUGAGCCUUCUCAACGAGCCAGCUCGCGAGCCUUCUCAACAAGCCAGCUCGCGAGCCUAAAAACGAGCCAGCUCGCGAGCCUAAAAACGAGCCAGCUCGCGAGCCUUAACGAGUCGAAUACUAUGGAGCUCAAGCUCAACUCGUUUAAGUGACGAGCCUCAAAAUUGAGCUCGAGCUUAGGUCGUUUAAAAAACGAGCCGAACUCGGUCGAGUUUUUAUCGAGUCGAGUCUCGAGUAGCUCACGAAUAGUUUGGCUCAUUUACAGCCCUAUUGUUCUUACAAUGCUAAGGGAUGAAAGUAUAUAUUUCAAUUGACAAUGAAAUAAAAUACAAGCCAUUAAUGCUAAAAGUGCUAUUGUAAUGGGUCCAAUAUAUAAUUAUGUGAAUUUUAAAGAAUCAAUAAAAAAAAUUAUAUAUUUUUUUAAUUUUUAUAAUUUUACUCUAUACGAGGGGUGAGCAGUAUUCAGUUCAAAUCGAAAAAACCGACCGAACCGAAUUGAUUUAAAAAUUUAAUUCGAUUUUUUAUAUAUUUCGAUUCAGUUCGGUUUUUAAUUUUAGAAAUUUUGGUUAUUUAGGUUCGGUUCGGUUUUGAUCAGAAAAAACCGAAAAAACCGAACCGAACCGAUUAGUGAUAAUAAUAUAUUUUUUCAAUAAUAUAGAGAAAUUAAAUCAUAUUAAGAUUAAAAUAUUUUAAUUAAAUUUUAAAAUAUUAAAAAUAAAGUGUAAAAGAUAAAAAAAAAUUAUUAAAAAUCGAAACCGAUCAAACUGAACUUAAAUCGAACCGAAUCAGACCGGUUCGAUUCGGUUCGGUUUCUGACCAAAAUCGGUUUGGUUCGGUUUUUAUAAACACUAAAAUUUCGAUUUUUGAUUUAUUCGAUUCGAUUCAAUUUUUAACCGAACCGACCGAAUACUCACCCCUACUCUAUACUAUUUUAAUUAUCAAUUAAAUUAUAAAUUUACUAUUAUUUUACUGUUAGUGUCUAAUGAAAUUAUCAUGGUCAUAUCAAUAAAUUUCAAGUUAUAAUUAAUAAAAAUUUAAAAAAUUAGAAUAAAACACAUUAUUUUUUAAUAAUUUUUUAAAAUUAAAAUUUAUAAUAAUUAAAAUAUUUAAUAUUAUUAUUAUAUUUAUUUUAGUUUUAUCAAUAAUUUCCAUAUAUCAAUUUAUCAAUAAUUCAAUUUCGAAUUAACCUAUCUCCUAAAUUAUUUUUUUUUUAAAUUUACUCUAAUUAUUAUUUUAAUUAAAAAAUACAUAAUUAAGAAUAUGUUUAAAAAUAUUAUAUAAAAAACUAUUUAAAAAAUAUAUUAUAAAAAUAGAAUUUAAUUAGUCACUAAAUUAAUUUAACAUGAUAAAUUAUUUUUUAUGAAAAAAAAAGAGUUAUACCUUGUAAUGAGUUAUUUAACUUUUGAUCGAAUAGCACGAGCAAAUGGUAAAGUGAAGAGUCUUUAUUGUUUUGAUUAUAUUAAUUAUAUUUUUUUAAAUUACAUGAAAAUAAAAUUAAUUAAGGCUAUUUUUAAUUAUGAACGGAAGAAUAAACAUAGAAAAUAUUUAUUUAGAUUAUUAUAAAUUAAAUAAAUAUUUAUUAAAAAUAUUUUAUUAUAUAAAAAAGAAAAAAAAAAACUGUUUGUGUUUGACUUGAUCGUCAAUAUUAAUGACAUAUCUAAAAUCAAAGCCUGGAAUCAUAUUGUGGCCCCACACGGUACGGCCCACAACAGCAUUAUCUCUAAAGUCCAAAGUGGUUUGAAUGAUGGGAAAUCAACGACUUACGUUGGUGGUAUAGCUAUUGUUAGGAUGCUCCUACGUUUUACCCAAAUCUAAAAAGCCAAAUAUAUAAAUUAUAAAAAGCUAAAUAUAUAAAUUGGUCCCUAAUCUUUACUUGAAUUAAAAGUAAAUAUUGUUAAAAUUAUUAGAAUUUUGUAAGAAAUAAUUUUAUUUAAGACUAUUUAUAUUAAAAUUACUUAAUCAGUGCUUGAAACUCUUUUUAUUUUAUUUUUCUUUUAUUUUUUAUUUGUUUUAGUUAUAAAAUUAUUUUUUAUUUUUUAAUUAAUAAUUACUCUUUACAAAAAUAAUUUAAUUUAAUACUGACUAUUAAUACUUACUAUAUUUAUAGUUAAUAUUAAAAAAAUUAUUAUAUUAUUUUGUUAAUUAAAAAAUCAUUUUCAUAUUUUUAAUGGUAAAAAAUUAUGUAAAAUUCAGAUUUUAAAUUUUAUAAAAAAAUAAUUUUUUAAUGAAUGUAAUAAAAUGAUUGUUAUUUAUAAGAAUGAAUAUUUAUGUUUGGUUUAAUAAUAAUAUAAAUGAUGAAUAAAUUAAAUUUUAUUACAUUUAAAUUAAUUUCAAACAAGAAAAAUUAUUAAUAAAAAUGAAUUAAAUUCUAUUAAUAAAAUUUAUUUUUUUAAGAAAAAAUACAUAUUAAAUAAGAAAAAAAUAUAAAUUCAAAUUUAUUGACUAAAUUAUUACAAAGUGCUAAAACUUUAGUACUAAAUUAUUAUAAAUAAUAAAGCUUAAAUAACUAAAUUGUUAUUAAAAAUGAAAUUUUAAAAAUUAAAUUGUUAUAAUUUAGUAUGAUUAAUUUUAAUAAAAGAAUUAUUUUAUUAAUAGAAUGAAAUAUUGAGAAUUAAAUUAUUUUUUUAUAAAAAAAAAAAAAAAAGUAAUUACUCCUGCUUUGGUCCUUUCCUUCUCAAGCUUGCUCGUGAUACCAUUGUCUCUAGGGAAGGACCUAGUUGUAAGAGAAUAAUAAUGACUGGUUUUAGAGAUUGGAUGAAUGAGAAUGAUAUAGGUGAAAGAGAGGGAUAGAGACGUAUUUUAGGGAUUAAAUAGUAUUUUUAAAAUUAUAUAAUAUUUUUUUAAAAUUUAAAUAGUUGACUAAUAAAAUUUUAUUAACAGAAUAAUAUUUAAUUUGAACGAAACGAAAAAUUUAGAGAUUAAAAUAUUUAAUUUUUAAAAUAUAAAAAUAUAUUUAUUAAUUAUGAUAAAGUUUAGGGACUGAAAAAUAUAUUUUUCAUUUACUUGAGCAGAAAAGUCAAAUUAAAUUUAUUUAGACUGCAACAAAAAGUGGAAGACUUGAUUUAAGUUAUUUCUAAAUUUAUUUCACACACAUUUAUUUAUUCAACCAAAAAGAUAUUUUCAUAUUUAUUGUUAUUUGAAUUGAAAAAUGAAUAUUUUUUUUAAAAAAAUUAUAUAUUUAAAACAAUAAAUUGUCUAUCGAUCUUUUUUAAAUAUAUCUCUUCUCAUAUAAUUAAUUUUAUUAAAUUAUUUUUAUAAUCAAUUAAUUUCAUUUUUUAAUGUGAUUUAAAUAAAUUUCAUUUUUUAAUGUGAUUUAAAUAAAUUAUGGGAGGGAAAUGAUAUAAUUUAUUUAUUUUUUUUAAAUGAUAAGUCUAUUUUUGAAAGAAUUCGAAUUAAUGAUUCGUUCAAUACACAGAAGAUAAUUUAGUGCGGUAAGGAAUCCAAAGCAGAACAUAUUCGGUAGGGCCCAAUGGGCCCAUCUUAUCUAACGACACAAGCAACGCGUCAUAAGAGGUGCGUGUGACAUAGACAUUCUCGUCAUUUCCGAAGCAACACAUGAUUUCGAAUAUCGCCAUCUUUAUGACGCAAGCUCACCGACUAUCCAUUACAUCAUACCAACGCCAUUAGUCCCAUCCAACGGCUACAAAUUGACCCACUGUUGACUAUUGCUCUUCAAAACUCCUCUUUGUGUAACCACCACCUCACAUAAAAUCUCCUCCGCUCCUCUCUCUCCCACAUGCCCCAUGAUAUGAUUUUAGCAGCAAAAUUUUUAUUUAUAUAUAUUUAACAGAUAAAUAAAUAAACAAUUUUCAAAAAUAACUAUAAAUUAAAAUACAGGCGACCAAACUCUUUCGGUCUUUUUUUAUUAAAAUUAAAGUGACCACCACAAAAUGUUUUCACCAAAUUCCCAGCAGGGGGAGUAAUGAGAUUCGACGUUUGUGCGCUGCGACGACUUCAAACAGGAGAAUAAAGAGAUUUUGCCUCGCCGGAGAGAGAUGGAUGGUAAAGGAAGAGACAAGAGAAGAAGGAUCGAGAAAGAAUCAGAUGAAGCCAAGAAUAAAAAGGUCAGAAAAGGAGAUCUGGAGGAGGCCACUGAAGAGGAAGUCGAUGAAUUUUUUGCUAUUCUUAGAAGGAUGCAAGUUGCUGUCAAAUAUUUCGAGAAAGGAAAUGGUGAAGGCUGGCGAGCUGCCGUUGAGGCCGAGGUGGUGGCGGUGGUAGGUGGAGAAAAGGAUGAGAAGGACGAGACAGAGAAAAAGGAGGACUCACCGGAAAUAAGGCCGAUUGUGGAGGAGGAAAUUGGAGUUUUGGAUUUGAACGUGAUGCCAGAGGUGGAAAAUGAUGAGAUGUAGCCGAGACAGUUAAGAUCUAAGCCGUCGUGUAUGGAGGAGAAGCAACAGAUCCGCUCUCGGAAGUUUUGGCACGUGCUUUGCAUGAGCACAGCUCUACUUUUCCUCUAAUUCACCUCUUAUUUUUUCUGGUAUGUGUUUAAUUAUUUACUCAUGACAAUUCCGCUAAUAAAUUAAUUAGUUGCUUAAUAUUUAAUUCUCUUAAAAGAGAAUUAUAUGAGACCAUAUUUUACUGUAAUUAAUUAUAUAUAAGAGACGUAUUUUCUAAUUUAUAAAGAAGGAAAAUUAGCAUAAAAUGUAUUAAUUACAUUUCAGUCUCUUUAAUUAUUUAUUUUAGUUCAACUUUUUUUCCAAUUUUUUCUUGGUAUCAGAAGGAAAGGAAGAAAAUUGUUUAAUCUUACAUGGUUAGAGAUUAAAAUUUUCAUAUUUAACUUAAUAAAAUUUCAUAAGUAGUUAAAAUUAUUAUUUCAGUGUUGCAACUUGAAGGGGUUGCCUCCCUAAUUUCUCUCUACCUCCACUAUGUUGGGGGAGUUUUUUUAAGGUAAUAAGAAAUUUUUUAAAAUUUAAAAAUUUUAAACUUAUAUUUAAAAGAGAGUAAGAGUUUUUAAGUAAAAAUCGAUGUUUUUCUUGAAAAUUUUGAAAAAAAUCUUUAAAAAAUUUUAUUUUAUCAAAUUAACAACAAUAUUGUCAGUUUAACUGUGUCAAAACAUAUAUAUAAAAUAUUGGGUUUUAGAAUUGGAGGAACAUAUUUUAACUCUGAUUAAUAUCGGACCGUAAAAUUCUCUUUUUCCUUCUUUUCUUCGAAACUGUGACAAUAUUUUAAGUGUGUGAAUAAUGAUGGUAUUAACUAUUAAGAGGCAGAUUUUCCAACAGUCGGAAGAAAAAUAUAGUUUUCGGAGAAAUUUCUCAAAGACUUUGCCCAACCCACCAAAAGCUUAAUUAUAGGUAAAAUUCAAAAUUAUAAAAUGAUAGAAGAUGACUAAUGUUAAAAAUAAUUUAUUCUUUUUAAAAAAUAAUUUUCUUUUAAAUAAUUUAAGUUUUUUUAAUAGAAAAUAUUUUUAAUUAAUUAAAUUUUUAAAUAUAAAAUAUAAAAAGUAUCUUUUUAUAAAAUAUUUUCAGUGAAAUAAAUAUAAAUUUAAUUAAUUGAUUUUUAAUAUUUAAUAAAUAUUUUAAUAUAUUUUUUAAAAUUGAAAACUCAAAUAAUAAUUUUUUUUACGAUGUAAAUUAAAUAAUAAAUUUUUACUUUUAUUUUAAAAAUUUCAAAGAGUGAGAAAUUGUAUAUUCAAUUAUUUUUUAUACUACGAGUUUUCUUAGUUAUUGUACCACUAGUUUAGCUUAUCAUAAUAGAAAAAAUUAUUUUUUAAUUCUUAAAAUUUAACGUAAUUAAUACUUAUAUUCCUCUAUUUUGAUGACGUAAUACUUAAGUCCUUCACUUUCUCUCCCAUCUAAAUUCAUAGUCCUUCUGUCCAUUUAAACCGUUUAGUUAAAGAUUCAAAGGUGAGAGAUAAUUUUUUUCAAAAAUACCCUUAAAAUUUCUAUUUUUCUUCUCUUUCAUAUCUUCUCCUUUUUUUUUUAUCAAUUGUUAAUUCUCCUCUCUUUUUUUUUCUCUCUCUCUCUUUUUCAUCUUUCUUGUCCCUUAUAUUUUCUCUAUUCUCUUUUAACAUUGUUGAUUUUUCUUUUUUUUUUUCUCAUUUUCAUUUUUUUUCUGCCUUAUAAUUUCUCUAUUUUUUUUUAAUAUUGUUGAUUUUUCUCUUUUUAUCUUUGUUCUCCCUCCAAUUUUCUCUUCUUUCUUUUAACAUUGUUGAUUUUUCUUUUUUUUUUUUCUUUCUCUUUUCCAUCUUUCUUCUCCCUUAAACAUUAUUUGAGAGUUGCAGAAAUGGUAGGAGUUGUGGCGAAGAAGGUUUGGAUUUUGUGAUUUUGAAAUAGCGGAAUUUUUAUUGAGGUCAAUUUUGUCAAUUCAAGUGUCCCAAAUGGCUAUUUUGGACGGAAAAAUUAUGAAUUUGGACAGAAGAGAAAGUGAGGAAUUUAAGUGUUGGAUCGCCAAAAUAGAAGGAUAGAAGUGUUAAUUACUUUAAAUAUCAGGAACUAAAAAAUAAAAUUUUCUAAUUAUAAUUUUCUCUACACGUCAUCAUAAUAAUUAUUUUAAUUGUUAUCUAAUUUAGCCUCCAUGCCUCUAUUUUUUUGAUAUUUUUUAUAUAAAUAUAUUUUUUUAAAAAUAAAAUAUAUUAACAAAUUUAUAUAUAAAAAUAUUAAUAAAAUUUAUAUAUAAAAAAAGUAAAUAUUAAUAAAAAAAUUUCGUGAAAUAAAUUGAGUUUGAAAUUUAUAGAACCUUUUAAUUACUUGAUUUAAGAAAAUUUUAGUCCUAAGAAGAACUAACAAACCUUGAAAAAUUUAGAAAUAAGUUUUAAAUACUUUUCUAUACACAUAGGCUUCAAUUUAUAUAUUAAUUAAUAAUAUAAUUUUAUAAAGUAAAGUAAUAUCUUAUUUACAUAUGAAAAUGUUUAAAAAUUAUAUAAUGAUAAUAUUAAAAAAAAGCAUAUAACCUUAACUUUUAACUAAUUAUUACUUUUAAAAAUCAUUCUUUUUUUUUUUUAAUUUACUAGAAAAAAUUUUCAGAAACUGCUUUAGUUCACAAAGACACUAUUGCUAUUAACUAUGAUUUGUUUCAUGCCCUGAAAACUAACACACAUAAAAGAAAAUAAAUUUAUAUAUUCAAAUAAAAUUUUGACUAUAAUUAAUAAUUAAUUUUUAAAAUUAAAUUAAAUUAAAAAUAUUGCUUAUAAUGGAUAAAUGGUAAAAAAAAAAUGUAGCUAUUUUUAUAUAUUUUGCCAAUAAAUUAUGAUAUUGGUAAUUAGUUCAUAGGCUAAGUAAACCUUUAUUUCUAUUUAUAUUUCUUAUUUUAUAUUUUCUCCAUUAUUUUAUUUCUUUUAUGCAAGUGGGAUUUUUUUUUCUCUUUUUUUUUUUUAAGUCUUUCUUAAAGUUGAAGAAUUUCUGUAAAUUUUUCUUUAUUUCGUGUCCUGAAAGCUCUAUGAGUCGAUGUUUAAUUAUUUUAUGCGACAAAAUCCAUCUCUAACUAAUUAUCUUGCAUUAUUAAACCAUCAAGCAAUCAGGAGGAAAUUUCGGUCAAUGAAAAAUCUAGAUGUUUGCUUUACCUUUAUAAUACUAAAAAAUUAAAUUGAAUUUGAAAAUAUUAACAAUAAAUUAUUAUAAAAUCCUUAAAAUUUUAUUUAAUUAAUAAAAUAAUUCUUAAAUAUUUUAUUUAACUUAAAUUAAUUAUCAAAACUUUAAUUUUUUUAUGAUAGAGCUUAUUUUUGUUUAUUUAGUAUGUAAAGAAUUAAAUCAAAUUUAAAAAUAUUAAUAGUAAAUUAUAAUAGGGUUGGGAAGGAACUCGAAACAUAAAGUUUAUGAAUUCUUUGAUCAUAGCCACCUAUCAAUAACUGAUUGAUAAGCCUCAAAGAUACAUACAGCUGGACGAUAAAAUUUCUACGUUGAUAGAGGAUAAAAAGAUAAAUUAGAAUAAGAGAAGUCAGAUAAGCCAGAUUAUGAAAGUGAAAGGAAUUAUCCAGUGUCAAAUGGAUAAUCGAUGUAAGUUUAGAAAUUAUAUAUCAUUAAAUGACUCACGAACACACAUACUCAUAUGGAUCAGGAAAAAUAACAAAAAAAUCAAAUAGUCCGUCAAGCUUAACCUAAAAAAAGCAAGUAUGCGAGACAAAACAAAGUAUUACUAGUCUCGUGCAGAUCAUGGACACACUACAGAAAAGUGUAGGUAAUUAAAAGACGAGAUUGAAAUACUCAUUAGAGAUGAAACUCUGAAGAGGUUUGUUAGAAAAGACAGGGAGGAAAGGAGAUCAGAAUCUAAAGUAAAAACACUAGUCAAUCCUAAUUACAAUGAACUGAUAGGGGUUAUUCACGUAAUUGCAGGGGAUUAAGUGGCAACAAAGGAAU